AACCCAAAACUAAAUUGAGUUACCGACCUGAUUACUGAACUAAGACUGGGAUUGAGAUUAUAGAUAAGAUGGUAAUUGAGACUAUAACCGUAACUAAAACUGUAGCUGAGACUGAAUACUGGUUUUUGAUAACUAGGGUUUAGACUGGUAUUGAAGUACUGAAUUCUAAGACUAAACACUGAUUACUGAGUACAGAAUACUAGAAUUGUAACUGAGAUGGCAACUGCAUUUUGAUAGUUACACAACGGGACCUAACAUAAGUCAAAGAUCUGAAUGCACAAUCACACUUUGUACUUUCCCAACUUCUAAAUACAACCUCUUGCUAGUCGUUUACUUGUACACUAAUAUGAGAUUCAAGCCUAUCUUCGUAACUACACCCUUGUGUAAAAUAAACAUGCAACAAUCUUUUCUUAACAUAUAAUAUUUAUUCUCUCCCAUUUAAGCAACUGCCCAUCACUACACUGUUUUCACAAAGAGAACUCAUUGAAGGCUUAAAUCAGGAGGACCUGAAGCAUGAAUGGACACUAACUGAACUUAACACUUGACUGAAGCCUGAGGAAUAGCAUAUAAACAUCAUGAAUUUACCAAGAGGUCUAAACUAAGGAUAUGUAUAACACAGUAUGAAUUUAACUGAUCAGUAGAGGCGUAGCAUAAUCCAUGGAAGCUGAGUAUACUGUAAAGCCUGAUAUGUGUACAUGAGUCAUGAGUUGCAUGACCUGAGUUUGGAGUUUUCUGCAUUCGUGGGACAUGAUUUUUAUUACUGAGGGGAAUAGAACUAAACUCCUUAUACUGGGAACUAAAAUCGUACCUAAUUCAGUGGAAAGCGUGUGAAUACAAGUUGUGUUCAUGGAACUGAGAUGUGAAGCAUGCGUAGGCAUCAUGCUGACUAAAGUACCAAACUUUACACUGAGAUAAGGAUGGGUCGGUAAUCACCUUCCCUUACUAUUUUUCUAUACGUAUUGGCACUACUACUGGAAUCUGAGAGCCUGAAUUGGUCACUUGAUCUAUCAUCUCCCCCUUAUCUUUAAUCCAUCAUCAUAAGUCUGUGAACACUUUACUAAACUCUAAACUAAACUACAAUUAUCAUCACAUACUUACACUCUGUUCGACACAUGCUUACCUUACUAAAUACACCAUCUACUUCUGUUUCUUCAUAGACUACUAAUAUUGCAUCUUCUAAUUCACAUCCACACCUUCAUACUUAAUUUUAAAUCAAUAAUCUUAAAUUCUUGGUUGCACUGUUCAAGCCUACUAGUCUACCUUGGUAUAACUAUCCCUAUGAAUACAUAAUAUGCUUAAUUUGGAUAACAUUAUCCCAACUCUACUACUGCUAAACUCCUGGGUUCAUGCUUCUAACUCUAGGUCAUAUACUAUCAUAGGAUUCUAAGAAGGGAUCUAAUGACAUAUCAAAUUUUGGGUUCACGAAUGAGUUCUCAUGAUUAUGAAUAAGAUCUGUACAACUUUGGAACAUAACAAAACUGAUGGGAUACUUUUGAACCUACGAACAAUCCCAUAACUGUCUGCGGGGACUAUCUGAGAAAGCCCUACCCCUAAGACUUUGAGCUUCACCAUUUUUGUUACCUUAAAAGUAAGAUGGAGUUGACAUAAGUAGAGCAUGAUGAGGAUCUACAUGAGUUUCUUAGGGAACCUUUCUAUAGCAUGAUCUGAAAUAUGAAAAAAAAACAAUUCCUAAAAUAUCAAUAGCCUCCUGUCUAUAAGUGUGGUGCACAACAUACCUAUGCACAAGACUGUACUAGAUGCAGUUUUUCAGACUUCCUAGGACACCGUUGAACCUUAGGCUUUGAUACCAAGUUUGUGAUGCCCUGAGUCUGGUACCCAGAAUGCUACAUGGUCUCCAUAAUCCCGAAGGACCAUAAACUAACCCAUGACUGAUAUUUGUACUUGUACACUACAUAAUAUAAGAUACAAAUGUAGAAAUAAAGGCUGAUAGCCCAUAAGUUUCAAAUAUGAUAAAAACAAAACAUUUGGGUGGGGUAUGAAAUACCCAAAACAAAUGUAGUAAACUAUUUGAAACAUGAUAGUCUGAAAAGCCUCUAACUGUCUGAAUAAGGAGUUAAUGGGACAUGUCCCCAGCUAACUCUAACUACUGAAAUAAAAUAAGUGCUGAAAUGAUAAAACAAUAAUCAUGACCUCGAAGGAUGAGGACUCACUGCUGACUUUGACUACCAAGUACGGGACUACUAUUGAUGCUUUGUAGCUCGUGCUUCUGAACCUAUGGUAUAAAAAACCAUAGCACAAAUAAGUCAGUACGUUUGAAUGUACUGGUAUGCAUGUGAGGUAGGAUGAAUGCAUUGGGUUCAUAUGCAUGAACAAUACUAACUGUAACAUAAACAUGAGAAUACAUGCAUGAACAAGUAACUAUAACUAAGACCAUAUUGAUACUGGUACAGGGUUCUGAGUACUGAUUACUAACGUCUAAGUUUAUUGAUAUUGAUAACUAAGUUUACUAAAUACUGAGAGACUGAUGUUAUAUUAACGAUAAAAGAAAGGCUGUUUCUGACAGUUCUGAUUAUGAAGAACUAGUCUGAUUGACUGUAUCUGACAGUCCUAAAACUGAGUACUGAUAACAUAGGUUUUAUAUAAUUAAUAAACUAUUAACUAAAUUUUUCAUAACAUGAUUACUAUGUCUGAGUACUGAUAACAUGAGUGACUAUAUCUGACAGUCCUAAUACUGAUGGAACUAGCUGAGUUCUGUACUGAACUGAGUUGAUUGUAUCUGAUAGUCCUGAUAUCUGUAGAACUAUUUGAGUUCUAUUACUAAGACUGAAUGACUAUAUCUGACAGUCCUAAUUUGUAGCUGAAACUGUGGGAGGUAGUCAUCUAACUGACAUGCCCCAAAUAAUGCAUUAUAGUUGAGUUGGGGUCUAAUUUUAACUUCAAUUGGAAGGGUGUUAGUACUACGCCACUGGUUAGGACAAGCUGUGGGUGACCCUCAUCUGAUAGUGUCCCUAAAAGAGAAUAGUGGGACCCUCAUCUGACAGUGUUGAUGUCUCAACCUAUGUUGGCUACAUAGUUCUGGAAUGCAAGGAUGACUUCUAAGAAUCACACCCUCAUCUGAUAGUGUGUGUUCCCAUCCUUGGAUUCACUAGGUGCUAAUUCCGACUCCCAUCUAAAUAGACACUGAACAUGGAUUACUGAACUGAACUAGACUGGAUUAGUUGAGUUUCCAUUGACUAAAGGAAUAGUACUGAGAUUACUGUAUUAUUGAGCUUUCCUUAGACACAUUACUGAGUAAGUUCUAUGGAUCAUGGCUUGACUGAGGAUAUCGUGAAAAGGCACAAAACUAUAUUUUUUUGGGUACAAGUACCCCCAGGACUUGAUGGGAAGAAACUGACAAAGAAUAACUUUCUUGAAUACAUGACUAACAUCAUAAUCCAUUAUACAAUAAGUUGGAGAUUUCAUGAAGUACAAGUUCUAAAUAACCACAAUGGCUACACAUCUAUCCAUACUUCAUUGACUAAGACAUUUCAUCAAACACUUGACGUGCAUAAACUUCAACAUAAAUGGAGAUUUCAUAUUAUUAUACUAGUAUGGCACUUUUCUUUCACAUACGAAUUUUGUCAAACAUAUGGGCAACAUGCUUUGGUUAUACAAUCAUCAACACAUCUAAUAAUCAUGGAUACAUCAAUCAACUUGUAAAUUAAAGGGGGGUUUAUCAUGAUUAUUAUGUAAAUCUUCGUAUACUAGGAUCAAUCAUUGGAAUAUGUAAUUCAAAACAUGAAUCAAAACCAUACAACCUCAUGAACAAGAAUUUCAAUUCUAUUUAAAUCAUGAACAUUCAUAAAUACACAAAUAUUGUAUUUUGAAAAGAGAUUAUUGAGCUUCAUGGGUGAAACGGAUCCAUGAAUCAACACGACAUACCUUAAUGCUUUACUUUAAGAAGAUUGACGGUGAAAUUCUUCAGAUUUGAAUCUUCUAUUAAAACCCUAAGGCUUGUUCAUGAGAGAGUUUAAGAGAAAGUGAGUAUAUUUUUGUGAAUUGAGGCUGAAUUUCAUGUUUAUGGUGUUUUAUGUCAUGAGGGUAUGGUUUAGGGUGAGGAAAAGACUAAAAUACCCCUACGAAACCACUUUCCAGUUUCUAAAAUUCUCAGCUGGCGACCAAGGCUGCUAAGCCGUCAGAUAUUUGAUGGUCCAUCAACUUAGGUUGUCACUUGGAAGCUGGAAUUGAUGGGUUUCUGCCUAAGUCUGACAACUUGGGAUGAUAAGUCGUCAGAUAUGUGACGGCCCAUUAGAUAUGUCAUCACUUAGUUGCUAGGUUAACAUGCUAGAGUAAAAUAGGUAUAACUUUUUGCUCCGAUAUCAGAUUUGGGCAAAAUUGGUAUCAUUGGAAAUCUAAUUCAAUUAUCUAUCUGUUAGUGGUUCAUGAGCUCCAAAAUUCAUAGUAUAAUGAGAAAUAUGCUUAUUUGAAGUUGACUAUACCAAUAUCCUUCCCAAGAAUUCAAUCGGUAAGAAAUGUUUUGAUUCGCCUAAUAGCUAGGAUGAAUUUGAGACCUUAAUUGACAUCAAACUUCAUCAUAAAACUACCAAAGAACCAUGAUGUACUAUUCAUAAGCUUGAAAUAUGGCGCUAAUAUUAAUUUGCAUUUUUUGGGGUAUUACACCCUUCACGUUCACGAGGGUCAAUUUUGAUCAGCUAAAAUUUUAGCCUUCGCCAUUCGCGAAGGAUGAUAAAUUAGGUCUUUUCUUUCACAAUGCAACAACCUCAUCGCAUUUGCAAAUAAGGGAAUACCCGAGUCCGGCCCAAUUUCCCUUGCGAAUGAGACCUUCCAUAUCGCGCUCACAAUGAAGGAAAAUAAUUUCUCAAUGUUCGCAAAGAAGGAUCUAACUUGCACCAUAUAUCAACAAAAAUGUUGAUAUUGCAUGAUUUCAAAUCCUCCAAACGGACUCUCGAGAUUCGUUUGAUACCCAAUAGAAACAAACCAUAUGUGUUACUAGACUACUUUUGAUGUUCUGGACUCCAUGACAAUAUUUGAUAUUUUGAAAGAUAUCGUUUCCAACAAACUAACCCUUGGGAUCUUUUUUUACUAUUUUCCAAAUAAAGGAUCAAAAUGCAAAAUAAAAGCUCUAAGCCUGAACCAACCCCACUACUAACUAAAAUUUGACAUUUCAGAUCUAAUGGAACUAUCCAAAUCAUCAUCCAGGACUUGAAAAAUCAAAUGUCGAUCAAAGUCAACUAAAUGACUUUUAAAGCCUUCUAAAACUCACAAACUCCCCCAAAUUACUCCCUAUCAUAUCGAGAACCAUGUUAACCAUCUUCAAACACCAAAAUCAAUAUGUUAUAGCUACAGGGAAAGGCAAAAUGGUUAAAACACAUAAAAAUUAAGAUUUUACACUUCGGGUUAUAACAGUUUCCACCAGUAAAACUCUAGUUCAUCCUCAAACUAAAAGGCAGGAAAGUACCUAAACCGGUAAAGAACCGAGGGUAACUACUAUGCAAUUCAAAUUUGACUUCCAAUUAGUGUCUUCAACAAGAUGGUGUAUCUACUGAACCUUAACUACAGAAAUAUCUCUAGAACACAACAACUAACUAUUUCUAGCUAAAAUAGACGUUGGCUCAUCUACAAAGGUCAACCUCUCAUUCAACUAAACCAAGUCCCAAAAAAGCACGUGAGACUCAUUCAGGAUAUAGCGCUAAAGCAUGGAUACAUGAAAAAUAGUAUGAAUGACUAAAAAGUUUAGAGGUAAGCUGAACCCAUAAGCAACCUCCCUAACUGUCCUAAGAAUCUCAAUUGGUCCAAUAUACCUAUGGCUAAGCUUUUUCCUCUUUUCAAACCUCAUCAGGCCUUUUAUGGGUAGCACAAAAAUAAAGAGUGAUCACAAAUCCCAAAAUAUAAGGAACCAAGCUGACCAUCCAUAUAACUCUUUUGCCUACUCUAGGUUGCCCAAAGCCUAUACUGGAUCAUUCAAACUAUGUCCAAAGAUUUGCAAAACAAGUUGGUACCAUGGGGUCUUACCUCUAAAGUCUAAAACCAACCAAUAGGAGAUCGACAACACCUAACAUAUAACACCUUAAAAGGUGUCAUCUCAACACUCAAAUAGUAGUUAUUAUUAUAAGCAAACAUUGCUAAGGCCAAAUGUUGUUCCCACUUACCUUUGAAGUCCAUAACACAUGCACGAAGAAUAUCCUCCAAAACCUUAAUAAUCUACUUUAACUGACCAUUGGUAUGGGAGUGGAAAGUUAUGGUAAGGUCAAUAUGAAUACCUAACUUAUCUUGAAUCGUCCGCUAGAAGUGAGCACUAACCUUCUGUCUGAAAUAAUGGACAUGGUACCCCAUGAAGAUGAACUAUCUCACAAACAUAUAUAUAAGCCAACCUUUUGGCAUUGAAGAAAAUCUGAAUAGGUAUGAAAUGGGUUGAUGGUCAACCAAUCCAUAAUGACCCAAAUGUUGUCAGAACCACAAGAAGUACAAGGCAACCCACUCAUAAAGUCCAUAGUGAUCUGCUCCUACUUUCACUCAAGAAUGGGUAAUCUCUAAAGUAAACCACCUGAUAUCUAAUGCUCGACCUUCACCUACUAACAACAUAAGAUUCAAGCUACAAAAUAUGACACAUCCUUUCUCAUAACACCCCACCAGUAAUAUUGCAUCAAGUUAUCAUAUAUCUUAGUCACCCCUAGAUAGAUAGAAUAUCUUGAGCAAUGUGCCUCCUCCUAAAUCAAUAUCACCCAUUCACCAACUCUCGAUAUACAAACUUUGCCUCCAAUCCUCAAAACAUCAUCAAAAUCAAGAGAUCCCACCUUAUAUUUUCCACUCAACACUUUAUCUCAAACCAUCUUCAAUACUAGUGAGCUCAAAACCCCAUGAUAAAUUUAUUGAUUGAUUGAAAAUUUUUCAUUAAUGUUGAAGACAUUGACUACCCAUGCAAAGAAUAUUGAUGAAGCAAUAUCAAUCACCCAAGCACAAUGCUUGAGUUCUUGUUAACAUACCCCUAGUAUCUCUUAGUACUUGAAUUCAAAUACAAUUUUGAUGAAGUGUACUCCAUCAAAGAAGAUAUAGCAUUACAAAGACUAAAAUAGUCCUCGAUAUUGAAAGAUCAAGCCUAAGCAUCUGGUUAUAUAAAUAAUGAACCUUCAAGGAUAAAUGCCACUCUUGGGUCAAGAUAUGAGCUAAAAUUCCCAUAUUAGUCAACUUCUAUCUCAAGGCUUCUGCAACCACAUUAUCCUUAAUGGGAUGAUAAAGAAUAUUAAGGUACUAAUCUUGAAAUAUAUCAAGCAAAUGUUGUUGCCUUAUAUCAAUAUCUCAAUAGCUGAAGAAGUAUUGAAGGCUAUGAUAAUAAGAAAAUCUCACAAGGAACUCCAUACAAGUAAUAAUGCCAUAACUUCAGUAGAAAUACCACGAUGGCCAACUCAAAGUCAUGGGAAAGGUAAUUUCUCUCAUGAGGAUUAAUUGACAAGAAACAUAAGAAAUCGGAUUACUCUCCUGUAUCCAUACCAUACCCAAACCAACACCACAAGCAUCACAAAACAUGAUAAAGCCCAUACCCUCCUUGGGUAAAGUUAAAAUAAGAGUCGAAGUCAACAACUCUUUAAGCUUUUGAAAGCUCUUCUAACUUCCAUUUUACCAUUGAAAUACCAUAUUUCUAUGAGUAAACUCGGUUAAAGGAGCCACAAUAGAUGAGACACUCUCUAUAAAGCACUGAUAAUAACCCGUGAAGCCACAAAACUCCAAGAAUGGGCCUUAAAGAGUUACCAAAACACCUGCUAAAUUAUGUUGAAAUCUCUAGCGUGUAAUACAAGUUCUGUUAAUAAUCGAUAGGCUUUUCAAAGAAUUCAUAUGGUACAUAGACAUUAUAAGUUUUUCCUAGUGGCAUUGAUUAAAAUUUUCUAAGAUUGUAGACAUAUUCAAAAGUUCAAAAGAAGGUUAAAGAUGAAGUCAGCUACUUUUAAUUGAGGUGAUAAGAGUUGGAUAUUUAUCAAUGAAGGGAUAUCCGUAGAGAUUAUUUUAGAUUCUCAACGACAAAUCUCUAUGAAAUUAGGGAUACAAGACAAUAAUAAAGUUAUAUUUGUUACUGUAGUUUAUGUUAAAUGCUCUACUAUUGAGAGGCUACAGUUGUGCAAUGAUAUUUUUGCCAUGUCUAAUAGCAUGAAUCAUAUUGUCUACUAAUGGUUGAUUUCAAUGUCGUUAUGAAUGAAAAGGAUAAAUUGGGGGAACCAACUAUUUAUCCCUUAGAGUAUGAGAACUUUGCAUUGUGUCUAUACUCUUGUGAGUUGGGUGAGAUCAAUUCUAAAGGUAGCCCUUUUACUUGGUGGAAUAGCAGAACAGAUGAUCAAUGUAUAUUUAAAAAGUUAGAUAGAAUGGUUGCUAAUCAAGUCUUUCAUAAAAGUUAUAGAUUUAUAGAAGUUGAAUAUUUAGCUAAGAUAGGGUAAGACCAUGCCCCAUUAUUGUUUUUAUGUGGGGAACAACAUAACUAGGUUCACAAACCUUUUAAGUUUUUGAAAUUUUGUAAAAAAUAUGAGAGUUUUCUUGAAAUUGUUAAAGAAAAUUGGGUAUCUGGUGGAGAUCAUUUGAUAUUUCUAUAAGGUGGAAAUGAAAGUUGGAAAGAACUAGUACUACCUUUUCAAAGUGGGGUAGAGAAAGUUAUGGUUAUAUUUUUAAAUAGAGUACUAUAAAAGAAGCGGUAGUCAUAAUUAAGGACGAAUUAUUUCAAGAAUCCCCUACAGCAUAAAACAUAUCUAUUCUUCAAAGGGCACAAGCUGAACUAAAAUAUUAUACUCAUUUUAAAGAAGAAUACUAGAGGUAAAGGGCAGAUAUCAAUUGAUUUUUUGAUGGACAUAAAAACACUAAAUUUUCCAUAACUUAGUAAAUAAGAAAAGAAAAAGACUGUAUCAAUAAAAUUCAAAAAAUGGAUGGUAGGUAGGCUGAGAAUAAUAAAGAAGUGGCAACGGAGGCAAUUAAUUUUUUCCAUAAGAAGUUCUCAUAUGACCUAUCCACGUCCAAUUAUUCCCUUCUUAAUCAUGUUCCUACAAUGAUUAAUCAAAAGAAAAAGAGAAAAUGCAUUGUUUCCACUCUAAACUAUACACGAAAUUGUUGAGACACAUCCAAACUUUUGGACGGUCAUAUUACCCCCCUGGACUAAUUAAAAUCAUAUUUUUGGUAACCUUAGUGGCUACGUGGCACAUACGUGUGCCUAUGUGGACCUUCAGUGUGUUGAGUCACUUGUGUGCCAUGUAGGCAUAAGGUUGCCAAAAAUAUAAUUUUAAUUAGUCCAGGGUAUAAUUGGACCCUCCUAAAGUUCAAGUGUGUCUCAUCAAUUUCGUGUAUAGUUCAGGGUAGAAAAGAUCAUUUUUCCAAAGAAAAAUAAUAAAGUGAUUUGUGGUCCUAGCCUAGAGAAAACCAGCGGGGUGAUUUUUAAUUAAAUAGGGAGAGUAGUAGCUGGCUUGAUAGAUUUAGUAGUUGUUUCUACCAGUCUUUUUGGGAUAUUAUUAGUAAGGAUGUGUUGCAUAUAGUGAAGGAUUUCUUUGAGGGUCAAACUCUUCCUAAAUUUAUUACUCAUACUAAUCUAGUCCUAAUUCCUAAGAAGGAGAGAGAUCAAACUUUCUCAAACCAUAGACUUAUUAGUUUGAGUAUUUUUUUAAUAAGAUUAUAUUUAGAGUCAUUCAUGAUAGAUUAGAGAAUCUGUUAUCUUGUCAUAUCAUAAAAUCAAUCAGGCAUUGUGAAGGAAAGAAAUAUUAUUGAGAAUGCACCACUAGCACAAGAGAUCAUCAUUGAUAACAAAAAAGAAGCCCCUGCUAAUAUUGUUACUAAACUUAAUAUGGCCAAAUCUUAUGAUAAGGUAUCCUAGAACUUCCUUAUCAGAGUACUACAGAAAAUGAGGUUCAGUAAAAUAUUUGUAGAUAUAAUUUCGAGAAGUGUUGCUAAUAAUUGGUUAUCUGGUUUGGUCAGCGGUAGGUACAUGGCUUCUUUCAUUCCACUGGAGGAGUAAAAUUGAGGAAUACUUUGUGUUUAGAUUUGUUUAUUCUCGAUGCUAAAGUAUUUCUUUGAAAAUCAUAUUUAAUUAUAGUGAAUUUAAAGAGUUUGACAUGCCUAAGUGGAGUUCUAAUUUAAAUCACCUGGCAUAUGUAGAUUAUAUUAUUAUAUUUGUAUCUGCUGAAAAAGUUACUAUGGAGCUGAUUAUUAGAACAUUAGAGGAAUAUGAGAGGCAGUCUUGAUAGAAGAUCAACAAAGAUGAGUUCUUUCUUUGUCUAUCGAAACACUGUACAAAAUCUUGUACAAUAAACAAAAGAGGUGAUUGGCUUCAAUAAAGGUAACUUUCCUCUUGUAUAUUUGGGUUGUCCUAUUUUACAUUCUAAAAAAGGAAAACUUACUAAUCUGAAUUAUUCAAGAAGAUUAAGAAUAAACUUCAGGCUUGCAAGAGAAAGAUUUUGUCCUUUGGAAAGAAAGUAGUAUUGAUUAAUAGUGGUCUACAAAGUAUUUUUAUUUAUCUAGUAGCAGAUAUUAACCUCCCAAAGUGUGUUAUUCAUGAUAUUUACAAAUUAUUUGUAAGGUUUUUAAUGAUUAGUUCUGAUGAGGGCAGGAGAAGGUAUUGGUUUUCAUGGAAAGAAAUUUAUUUGUCUAAAAAUGAGGGUGAUUUAGGUUUUAGAUCACUAUAUGAUGUCUCCAAGGCAUUAUUUACAAAAUUCUGGUGGAUUUUUAGAAGAAAUAAUUCUCUUCGGACUAAUUUUAUGUGGAAUAAAUAUUGCAAGAUGUAUAUUCCUCAACUAGUGGAAUGAAAGGCAGGAUCACAAUUAUGAAGGUAUAAGCUUGAAGGUAGAGAUAAUGUGGAUCAGAAAAUAUGGUGGCAAGUCAAAUGUGGGCACUGGAAUGUGUGGUUUGAUAAUUGGACAAAGUUAAGAGCUUUCUACUAUGUAAUUUCCUCUACUGUAUAGUUAGAUGGAUCCGUUAAAAAUAAUCAUAAACUUAUGGCUCAAGGUGAUUGAGACAGUGAUAGACUACAUCAGUUGGUCCUUGAAAGAAUUAUGGCUCAUAUUCAGAGUGAUAUACAAUGUCCAACAGAGACCAAAGAGAGAGACAAGCCAUGGUGGAUGUUGAUAGGAUAUGAUAAACUUAUUGUUAGUUAUGCUUGGAAAAUACUAAGAAGAUCUUAAUACAACCAUUAGUAACUCUCAAAGAUAUGGAUAAGGUGAGAUCUUUUCAAAGUGUUUUUUUAUUAUGGGGGGUUUUGAAGGAAAGAGUUGGUUAGAAUUGGCGUGGUGAAUGAGUUGAAAUGUUGUUGUUGUAGGUAGAUGUUUCUAAAAUAUACAACCAUACAUUUUUAAUUUGUCCUACUUCUUUGAGGGUGUGGCAAACUUUCUUAACAGCUACCGGUAAUUCUUUUCCCCUAUUGCAAGUUAAGGUGGUCAUCGAAAAUGGUGGGAGAUGAAGGGGUUUAUUAAAUCUAAAUCGGUAAUCAAUGUUGUAUGAGUUUUUAUUCUUUGAAAUAUUUGAAAAAAGUGAAAUGUUAUAAGUCAUGCAAAAAUAAUGUCAAUAGCCUUAAUUUCAACAUUAAUAUGAGUUUGUAUUUAUUUGAUAAAUCUAAGUAGUCAUGGAUAAGGCACCUACCUAUGCAAUGGUCUAACCUCAUACAAUUCUUAGAAAAUUAUAGUUGAGUGAUUAGUGAUAAAGUGGUAAUGUGGAGAAAAUCUCAGAGUGAUACUUGCAAAUGCAAUUAUGAUGAAGCAUCUAAAGAAACUUCUAGACCUAAUGCCAUUGAACAUGGCAUCAAAGAUUAGGAAGGGAAUGUUAGAUAUGUUAGAAUCCAAGAAGAUUAAUGACAGGAAUGUAUGAUAGUAAUUUGUCAUGAACCGACUUCUCAGGUCAUGAUGGCUUCUACCAUAACCCACUAGUAAGAAAGCCAACCUCGUAGUCCAGAAUGGCUAGUAAUAGAUUACUCAAUAAUAUAAGGAAAUAAAUUAGGAAUAUAUGAAAUAAAGAUAAUACAUAGAAGAAUCCCAAAACUUGGUGGUACAGUAAAAGAGAUUCUAAAUAUAAUAAGAGUACAAAAGUGAUAUAUCAAGGAGAAAUACACUGAUACAACCUAUCUCUGAAUACAACUUUGAGACUAGUCUAAUACAUAGGAGAGAUAUAAGUAAUACUCCAAACGUCAGGAGCUCACUCUAAGUCUCUAAACUAGGGCUGCUCUGCACGAUGCACACAUCAACAGUGAUAACCCGUACUAUGAUUUGCAGGCUACAGAAGUGUAGUAUGAGUACCAAAUGAAUGGUACUCAGUAGGCAUCUAAUAAUAGAGCUCCAAAGAUAAAGAAGAUAUACAUAGCAUAUAAACAGAAUGAAAUAUAUAUCCGAGAUUCCAGAAAUCAUAUAACAAUUCAAUGAGAAUAAUAAGGGACAACUAUCCUAUUCAUGUCCAAAGUCUAACAUAACAAGACUAAGAAAGUAUCAAGGUGAACUAUCCUAUUCCAGCUGCAUUCAAUCUACGACAAUACUAUACUGUAUAUCCCAGGCCAACAUAUGAAUAAAGGGUGAAAUAAAGAUAUAUAGUAAUAUACAAAGUAAAGAAAUAACUAUACAAUAUGAACAACGAAGGGAGGAAUAUACGAUAGUAUCAUAGCUUCAUAUAGCAAGAUAUAUAUAUAUAUAUAUAUACAUAUAAUUAUGAGGUCAUCUCAAAGCAUAACCUAUAUCAUCAUAUCUUCAUUCUAAGACCUUACUAUAAUACUAUCAAGAUUUAAAUACUAUCAUACUCAGGAUUUCUAAUCCACAUGGCUAGACAUGAAUAAUCAUGCAUAGUAAUGUGAUCAUAAGAUAGAAGAGGACAAAGACAUACCUCAAUCCCGAUACUGGAUCAAUGACCAAUCUAUCAUAGACUAGCCAUAAUAAUUAUCAUAACAAUGAUAAUAACAAUAUCAAUAACAUUGUAAAUAAUCGGCUACUCCAGAAAUCCAAAUACCUAUCCGAACCAAUACAUACACCGCACCGCCCCAGAAUCAGAAGGUUCAAUCAACAUACAACAACAUAAGGGAUAUUUUUACCCACAUCUAUGCAACCGUCCCAUUUUGGCUGAUAAAUAUAGGUUCAUAUUGGUGAUAGGCAAUGCGCAUGAAGAAAUGAAUGCAAAGUACACAAUCAAUGUUACAACUCAUCAUAAUUAUCCUUAUUAGGACCAUUAUCAUCGUCAUCAACCUCCAGCCUUGCAGGGCAUCAAUAUAUCCUCCGUCCCUAUUGGGUAUCAACAUCAUCACAAUAGUAUCCUCCGGUCUUGUAGGGUAUCAAUAUUAUCGCAAUAGUAUUCUCCAGCCUUGUCGGGUAUCAACAUAUCAUAAUAGUAGCCUCCGACCUUGCUGGGUAUCAAUAUCACCAUAAUAGUAUCCUCUGACCUUGUCGGGUAUCAAUAUCACACAACAAUCAUUACUGAUUAACAUACACAAAAAAUACUCGUAAACAUAAUCAUAUCACCAUAGAAUAUCUAUCUAGCCAAUAUUUCUAAACUACUUGUUAUUAGUUAACCAAUGCUUAUUAUAAAGAAAUCAAUAGUUCACUCAUCAUCACACGACUUCUAGUUAUUAGCCUAAACAUUAUCCAUAUUCAUGGGAUAGCAACUAACCAUCAUUAACUAAAUAGUCAACAUCUAAUAUCUAGUCAAGGUUCAUCACUAUAUUGAAUCGCCAUUUAUCCACUAUUUAUCAUUAUCAACUAAUCAUCCUAUACAUGUUAAUUACUAUUAGACAACACAUUACUAUUUGUCACCUAACCAUCUUUUAUUAAUUGACACAAUUCAUUAACUAACCAUCGUUUACCACUAAUCCUUGAUUAACUAUUUAUUUAUUAACCUUAGCAACUAUUCAUCAUUAUUAACUAGUCACCUCUUAUUACCAACAUCUCUUAUUAUCUAGCCAUAUUAAUACAUAACUCCUCGACUAUCAACUGAUCUAUGUCACAAACUUAGUGAUCAAUAUUAACUAAUCUUCACCUAUGAUAGACCAGACCUUAUCAUAAGUCAUUCAUUAACCAUCAUAGCUACCACACAUUUAUGCUAAGCAAGAUUCAUUAACUAAUGCUUAAAUUAACUAGCCACCAAGUACUAUAAUCAGCUAAUGGACAACUAACUACCUCAUAGCUUAACCGUUAAUUAGGCAAAAUAAUUAUAAGAUUAUACUUCAUCUAGAAUCACAUAAGUUACUGAUAUAAUAAUCAUGGAUGUACUAAAUAUAUGCAUGGCAUCACUAGUAUCCAAUCAACAAAGUCAAAAGUAACAUACCGCAUCUUCCUCCAUCCUAUACCAGAGAGAUGUGUAUAAAAAUAUAUAUAUAUAUAAGAAUCCAUAAACUAUAAUCGUAUCCUUUAUAAAGACAAGAACUCCUAGAAUAUCCAAUCAUUACCAUGACUCGUCCCUUGGCCAAAUGAUAUAUCUAAAAUAAUUGUAAUGUCAUAAUCACAGCCUUACGCCCAUAUAUAUAUUCGGAACUCAUAUCGAUAAUCAUAUUUAUAAGCCAUAGCAUAUCUCUAACCAUCUCACAUAUAGGAGGCAUACUAUCAAUAAACAUGUAAUCAUUCUCUCACAUAAGAGGUGUUUCACAUCUAGGAGGCAUAAUAUAGAUAGACAUGUAAUAAUCUAUAGGAUAUCUUAUAUCAAGAGUUCAAACAUCAUGACUAUGAGAAAUAUCACCUCUCUAGGCCAAUUGACUUAUCUAAAAGGAACCUCAUCUUUAUAGGUCCAACAAUCAUGACUAAAGAAAAUAGCAACUCUAUAGGGCAAUUAUCAAGUCUAAGAGGAAAUAGCAUCUCUAUAGGCCAAUCAUCAAGGCUAAGAGGAAAUAGCAUCUCUCUAGGCCAAUCAUCAAGGCUAAGAGAAAAUAGAAUCUUUAUAGGCCAAUCAGCAAGUCUAAGAGGAAAUAGCACCUGUAUAGGUCAAUCAUCAAGUUUAAGAUGAAAUGGCAUCUCUACAGGCCACAUAACGUAUGUAAGAGGAAUAUCAACUCUAAAUGCCCAAUUUCACUUCCACAAGAAGUAUCAUAACUAAAACUCAAAAGCCCCAUCUGAGAACAUCAAUACAAGUUACCAAGUCAUGAAGUAACCUUAUUCUAAGUUUUACUAGCCUCAUCUAUAUCUAACAUCCGCAACUAAGUCCACAAGGCUUAACACAAGUUUAGGCCUAAGUGGGCCAGAUGAUCCCACUUCUAAUCCUCAAUUUCUAUAAUUAGGAACACCAUGUGCCAAACUAGGCUAAGGUUUUUAGUCUAACUUCUAGAUGUCGAAUAAGCCACAUUAAACCUUAAGAUAGUAACUUCAACUAGAAAAAAGGGUACUCAAGUCAACUCUACCCAAAUUACAGUUUCAAGACUAUCACACUAGCCCAAUAAGGUCAAAUAUACUAAUUAUGGUUCAAAUGCUAAAACCAUAUCCCAAACAUAGAUUUAUAACAUAACCAUGAUACAACUAAUCUAAACUAGAGAGGGAAAGCAAUCGGAUUCAAAAGGGUAUAAAUAUGUUAUUUUAUGAGUCCCAAGACCUCAUCUAAACUCCAAACAUCAACAAUCGAGGCCAAGUCAUCCUACUCAUAAUCAAGCCUAACAUCCAUAUCCACACACAACAUAUAUCACACAUCAUCUAUGGAGAAAAGUAGAUAGAAGCCUACCUCAAGGCCAAACCGCAAAACCUCACUUCAUGUACCACAUGCUCGUCUUCACUUUACAAUCCUCAAAAUGUCAUUGCACUACCAAAAUCAUAAUCUACUCCUUAAUACGAGUCUAAUGACACCCAUAUUGCACUAUUGUACCUCGGGUCUAAAAAUAACACCAAAACCCCAAGUGGGUCCCAUAUACAAAAAAUGAGUUUUCGAGGCCAAUCCAAUAUUCACACAUGAACAAGGAAUCAUAACCCUCAAGAAAUGGGUGAAAAUCAAGCAUACAUUGGGCUAAAAUUAAGACCUAACCUAAAUCAGGGUUUUGCGUCCAAACUAUAAAAUUUAAACAUGAUUUCAAAGUAUUCUUACCUUAAAUUUGAAGAUAAUCGCUAUAAAAGAUGAUCGUCAAGAUCUCGAGUCACCUACCAUGACCAAUUUUGAGUUAUUACACCAAUUUUUGUGUUUCUAGGUCUAAAUGAUGAAGGAGAAAUGCCCCAAAUGCGUCUUUGGGUCUUUAUAUAGCCCCUACAGGUAAGGAAAUGUCACUAUCACGGUCCUAUGAGAUGCAAUCGCGGUACUGCGGUCACUAUACUAUUUACCACGAUCGUGGUUGCACCGGAUGGUAGCAAAAUCAAAAAUAAGAUUUUGACCCUCGAAACUCAUCCAAAAUUCAAAGAACAUGAUCCAAUAGUGAAUUUUGAGUGUAAACCACAUUCCAAAUCCAUUGGAAUCGUCAAAACUUUCAUCCAAGGUUGUUUAGGAAAAAGUGGGGCCCACGACUAUAGUUUAACAUUUUUCAUAAAAUUUGUUCAAUAGCCCAAAAUAAGUCUAGGAGCCUUGGGACCUAAACCAAGGAUACCCCUUGUAUAAAAUCAAUGUUCUGGAUGUGAUGGUGAAUUUAAAUUUUCAAUCUAAGGUUGUUUCGACUAAAGGUGAGUCUCACACAUAUUCUUUUCGAUUUUCAACUUUUCGACCAAUAGGUCAAAAUGAGCUUGGGUGCAUUGGAACCCAAACCAAACGUCUACCUAGAUUAAAAUUGAUAUUUUGGAUCUACUAGCACAAUUGGAAUUUGCAUUCGAGAUCGUUUCACUGAAUUUUUUACCUGGUAGCCAUUUGGAACUAGAGAAGACUUCUAAAUAGGGAAUUGGUUUUAAAAACCAAAUGAACUGCCCAAUAACCAAACUUUGGUCCCAGCAAGUCAUAAAUGACUUGGGACAGCUUUACAGAAGCUCAAACGGUGAAGAUAAGCGUAAAUAUGAAAAACGACCUAAAGGGUAAUUACAUUAAUGAUGAUAAUCAACCCAACUCUUGCUUGUUCAAGAUCAUAAUAUGGUCUUCCAUGGAAUCUACUAUUAGGGUUUUUGCCUUGAUUUUCUUACUAUAUUUAAGUUUUAUAUUUUCUUAGAAGGAAAACAAAGUUACCAUAAUUACUUUUACUUUUCCUGAAAGAAAAAAAUAUAAUUCUUUUCCAUAUUUGGAAAACCUCUUUCUUGGAGGAAAGGUUUUGGACAUCUAUAAAUAGAAGAACCCCUUCUCAUGCCAUAACAUAAUAGCAUCCACAAUGUAGUCUUUAAAGAAUCUUUGUUUAGGGGGAGAUUUCUCCCAAUAAGUUUUAGGAUUUUCAAUUUUAUUUUUUAAUAUGUAGGUCGUUUGGCCAAACCAUAUACAAUAAUAUAUUUUUAGUUUAAUUUUUCAUGUGUUGUCUGAUUUAUCGUCUUAUAGUUUGCAAACUAAAAGCUUUCGCAUGAUGCCCUCUAGAUUUCGAACCCAACAAGUGGUAUCAGAGCCAAUGGUUCAAAGAUCAGAUGGUUUGAUUAAGGAUAGUUUAAGAUGAAAAUUGCAAUAAAUUUGAUGAUAAUGAAUAUAUAUAUCUAAAAACUAUAUGUGGAGAACAAGUUUCAGCCAUAUUUUCAACACGCCUAUUGCUGCAUCUUCAAAAAUAAAAAUAAAUUAUUACUUUUAAAUUAACUUUUAACCAUGAUAUUUUAAACCUUAUUUUUAACCAUGGCAAGUAGCAGUUAUGAAUAUUAUAUCAAGAACAAAGUUCAUGCACGUGAUAUGAAGAGAAGACGGAUCAAGUGAAGAAAAUCAAGCAAAAAAGGGGAGAUUUGUUAGGAUUUUUGCUCUGAUUUUCUUACUAUAUUUAAGUUUUAUUUUUUCUUAGAAGGAAAAUAAAAGUUAUCAUAAUUACUUUUACUUUUCCUGAAAGAAAAAAAUAUAAUUCUUUUUCAUAUUUGGCAAACCUCUUUCUUGAAGGAAAGGUUUUGGACAUAUAUAAAUAGAAAACCCCCUUCACAUACCAUAACAUAAUAGCAUCCACAAUGUAGUCUUUAAAGAGUCUUUGUUUAAGGGGAGAUUUCUCCCAAUAAGUUUUAGGAUUUUUAAUUUUAUUUUUUAAUAUGUAGGUCGUUUGGCCAAACCAUGUACAAUAAUAUAUUUUUAGUUUAAUUUUUCAUGUGUCGUCUGAUUUAUCGUCUUAUGAUUUGCAAACUAAAAGCUUUUGCAUGAUGCCCUCUAGUUUUUGAACCCAACAUAUACCACAUCUUUCUUUAGUUUAUUCUUUAGGUUAUUGCAGAUUUGCAUAAAGACCUCUAAAUUUUUGGAUUUGAUUAGACUUUUUAGUUUUUUGUCUUUUCUUUUUUCGUUUUGUUUGAUUACUUUCCUAAUCUAGUUGGUCCUAUAACAGACUGGACUUGUACGUAUUUGUUUUCUUUUAUAAUACAAUGUGGCCAUGCCAAUAGUUUAAUUUUUUUUAAAAAAAUUGUGCUUGACUAUGAAUACAAAUGCUAAGCAAAAAUUAAAAGCUUAGAAAACAUAGAAGAAUAAAGAAAGUCGAGCCUCAAAGAAGAUUUAUGUUCACAAGUCUGCCAUGGAAAUUUUGAUAUUCGAUAGUAUCAGUUAUUGAAUUACCAUAAUCAAAUGAGAUAAUACCCUAUUACCCCCCUAAACUAUACCCAAAAUGGCAGAGACACACAUCAACUUAAAGGGGAUCCUAUUACCCCCCUGAACUAAUUAAAAGUGUAAUUUUGACACCCUUAGUGCCUACGUGGUACAUACGUGGCACAACACACUGAAGUGUCCACGUAGGCACACGUAUGUGCCACGUAGGCACUAAGGGUGUCAAAAUUACACCUUUAAUUAGUUAGUGAGGUAAUAGGACCCCCUUUAAGUUGAUGUGUGUCACAGUCAUUUUGGGUAUAGUUCAUGAGGGUAAUAAGGUAUUUUCUCUAAUCAAAUAUCAAAUUUUUGAAUGUGCAUAACUGAAUACCAUACUGAUCAUUGAAAGUUUUAAUUCCUUUCGGUAGCUCUAUUUUUGCUGAUUAUUUUCCACUAAGAAGUAGAAAUGAGUGUUCUCCCACUUUCUCACAUACUCCUUUAACAUAAGGAGGACCAUUUCCGAGUUCAAUUUUGGCUUGUGGAAAAUGCCUAAAUCAAUUAUAUUAAAGGUGUGUUUGAUAUGGAGGAAAACAAUUCCUCAUGUUCAUAUUUGACCAAAAGUUUUGGAAAAAUAUUUCCUCUAGAAAAAUAAGAUCCUUCAAAAUAAGGAAAAUGUCUUUCUUAAUAAAAGUAAUAAAAACAAGUUGCAAUGUCUCAUACCAAUCUUGAAAUCACUCUCCUUCAACCUUUACCACAUCACCCACACCAAAAAAAGUUCUUUUAUAAAGUUUAUUUUCUUACCCCACCCCAACCCGCCCCUUACCUCCGACCCCCAAACUCCCCGCCUAAUUUUUUUUAAAAAAAAAUUCUUACCCCACACCAACCACCCAAAGAAAGAGUUUUUCUAAAAAUAAAUUUAAUAUUUUUUCUUACCAUACUCCACCACCCACCCCUUGCCUUAACACCCCAUCCUCCCAAAAAAAAAUUAAAUUUUUCCUACUUAGGUACCUAUCCCCACAACCCCCUAAAAAUUAUAUUUUUUAAAUUUUAUGUUGGAUACAGGCAAUGCUUACUUACGUACCGAACUCAAUAAAAUAAAUAAUAAAUAACAUUUUUUUCUAGAAAAUGUUUUUCAUUCAUGGAAAACAGUUUCCUCCAUACUGAACACACCAUACCAAAUUGGCGCGUUGGAAUUGAAAAUAAUUACUAAGGUGUAAAGUUAUAAACUUUAAAUGAUGAUAAAUCAGUCAAAUCCUACCAAAUUGCUGUAUUAUAGUUUCUCCUAAAAGCGUGCCAAAAAUUUAUUUUUUCCAGUAAACUUAGGUUCAAACUUUCAACUCAUAAAACGAAAAUGAUGAUUGUGUGAUGACUAUGGAGUAUCAAUAUUCCCUGUUAAAUUGGCAAUCAAAUCGUGGAAACAAUACAUUGAAAUUACGCUCUAUCAAAGUACUAUAAAUACCUAACAUGACAAGCAAUAUUUAUUUACUCAAACAUUUUUAAAACAUGGAAAUUAUGUUUGGACAUGCAUUUUAUUUGGAAAACUUGAAACUUUGUAAGUGAAAAUCUCAAAUCUAAUCUAAGCAAGUUUUUGGAAAUUUAAAAAUAUUUGAAAAUCAAAGUUUUAAAAUCUGACUAAAUGUCAUGAUCAAAUAAAUUUUUAAAAAUAAAUCUUUUAAAAUCUACAACUAAACGUUAGCAAAAUUUCAUUUCAGUCAUUGUAGAACACCUUUCAUCACUCACAAACAACAAAUUGCACAAUCAAUGUUGUUCAAAUUAAACAUCAUUUAUCACUCAUUCACAUUUCACAACAAGAAGGCAAAACCAUUAAUUCAUAAAAACACAAAUUGAUGAUAAAUUUCAAGAAUGGUUUGGACUCUAAUGACUGACUUCAUCUGUAUCAAAUUAUUUGUCAUUUUCUCUUUAUGUCCCUCACAAAAUAUUAAUUAGGAGAUGUUUUGAUUAAUUUAAUUUUAUUUAUGUCUUGCACUGUAAUCUCUUAAUUGUAACUACAAUAGUAAAUAACUAGGGCAAUUUAGUUAAAAGUGACAAAAGAGUUUGAAAAUGAGGUGUAGGUGACUCAAGUUUUAAUAAUUGAGUGUAGGUGACAAUUACUUUAUUAAUGAUUAAGAAAUCUGAAAAAGUUUCAGAAUAGCCCACAAGUUUUUUAAUUUAUACUUUUAUCCAAAUAUUGACCUAAUAUAACUAGAAAUAGAGGAAAUAAAAAUGCGCAUUUUCUCUCCCUUCUCAUUAUUGUUACUUUCUCUCUCUUUGCCAUUUUUGUUGUUCAUUAUUGUUGUUGCUUUAUUCAUGAUAUUGUGCUUCAUUAUCAUCAUCUUCUUCUCCAUUAUCAACAUCAUCUUCUUCUUGUUUACCAUUGCUAUUGUUAUUACCGCUACUACUGCUACCUGCUAAUUUUUUAGGUCAAAUUUAGUUUCAUACAUCACUUUGGCAUUACUUCAUAGGAGACGUUGGUAAGUAAACUUAUGAUUUUUAGUUGAAUUUCUCAUCUGGGUACAUUAUGACUGCUAUUUUUAAAGCAAUGGAUAGAAUCAUAAACAUGAACCCAACAAAAGCUUCAUUUAUUUGUCACAACGGAAGACUCAUAUGUUGAAUUCAUAUUUAUGGUGCUAUAGUCCUAUAACAUGAAAUGAACAGAUGGGUCAUCUAUUGCAUAGAUAAGUUAUCAUUCACAACAGAGGAGUCAUCUGUUGACAUAGAUUACUCAUCUGUUGACACAGAUUACUCAUCUGUUGCAAUAGAACCUGAACUAAGUUUCAAUAGAUAAGUCAUCUGUUGCAACAGGUUACUAAUCUGUUGCAAUAGGUUAUUUAUCUAUUGCAACAUGUCACUCAUCUAUUGGAAUCCGCUUCAAAGGCUCUGUAGUACAUUCCAACAGGUGAUUCAUAUAUUGCAACAAAUGUAUAAGUUAUUGCAAUAUAUGAGUCAACUAUUCCAAUAUAUGAGUCAUUUGUUGGAAUAAGCUUCAAGUUUUAUAGUACUGUAACAUAAAUUACCAACAGGUGAGUCAUCUAUUGCAAUAUGUAACUCACUUGUUGCAACGUAUUAUUCACCUGUUGCAAGAAAUUACUCAUCUAUUGGGGUUCAUGUUACGACACUGUAAAAUCACUAUUGAUUUUAUUAUGAUGUCACUAUUAACUUUUUUUAACAAAUGUCUUUAUUUAGGUACCACUAAUGGAGGGAUCAAUAACAAUAAGGGUGGAUUGUCAUGGUGAAUAGAUCGAGAAUAGCAAUCGAUAUGUACGGCGUUGGAAGGACGGUGAAAUGCUAAAGACGAUAGCUAUGACAGUCCAAAGUGAUAUUUCAUAUGAUGAUUUUGUUAACUUAAUCAUCAGCUAUUUUGGAUUGAAUUUUCAACUGGAAGAAUUCGUCAUCUGCUACAUGCAAAGCUGCUUUAAAAAUCAGAGGAUACUACCUUUCAAGAUAAUUGAUCAGGUUCAAUUGUGUUCUUAUCUUAUUGAUUCGGCUAGGCCGGUGUUAAGUGUGUACGUGGUUGAAAACCUAAGAGAGAAUGAGAACCAGAAUGUUGAAUAAGAACAACAAUAAGACAUCUUUGAUGAUACAAACAGCUACGCCAAUUGUUGUGAGCAAUAUGGUGGGCAGUUCUUCUCAAUCAACAUAGUCAGGUAAUCAUCAAGAUGAUGAGACUAUAUUUUACAAGGGAAUGUCAUUCAAGGAUAAUAAAAAACUAUUUACUUUUUUGUUUAUUUCUUUCAUGAAAAAAAAUUCAGAAUAAAGAAGGUGAUUCAGUCGAGAAAAGUCUUUUCCUUCAAAUGUGCUAAUCUGACCUGCAAGUAGUGGUUAAAGGUUGUGAAAUACUUAAGCUCUGAAAGAUUCGGCAUUAAUGUUUAUCAAAAUUAUCACACAUGUGGUUUGGAGCACAUUACGAAAUAAAAUCCUUACGCCACGGCAAAGGUCCUUGGUCAAUAUUUCCACAAUAGAUUCCCCGAUGGCAAAGGCCCUUCUACAAGGGAUAUGGCGAAUCAACUCCUUAUAGAAUUGGGCGUUACGGUCAGUUAUUGAAAGAUAUAUAUGGCGAUGGGGAUUUCCAAGUACUUGGUUAGGGGGAAACACGAGCACGGGUAUACAGUCCUCGAUGCCUACCGUUACAUGCUUGAGUUCAUAAAUAUCGAAAGUAAGAUGGUGCUGCAUGUUGAUGAAAACAAAAGGUUCAAGUACUUUUUUGUAUCCUAUGGUUCUUGGAUUUUUGGUUUUCAACAUUUGAGAGAAGUCAUAUCCAUCGACAGGACCUUUUUGAUGAGCAAGUAUAAUGGAGUUUUGCUAGCGGAGGUGGCACAGGAUGCGGAGAGGCACAUCUUUUCUAUCAUUUUUUGUGUGGUGACAAGAAAUGUGAUGCCGCAUAUGGAUAUUGUUUUGAACAAAUGCAAAGAUGCAUCAAAUAUACCAAAGAGUUGUUUUUUAUUUUAGAUAGGCAUCCAAGUAUCCCAAAGAUUGGUUCAAUUUUCUACACUUCAGCUCACUUUGAUUGUUGCAUGAGGCAUCUUAGAAAGAAUAUUUGAAACAACUUUCACAACGAAAGGGUCGUGACCCAUUUUAUAGAGCAGCUAAAGCAUAUAAUAGAAAUUAGUUUUUUUUACCAUUUCAAUCAAAUAAUGGAUAUGCAUCCCAAGGCAGCAGAAUAUCUUAUACAUGUCAGUUUUGAGAGAUGGAGCUGGGCAUUUUAUCCAGCAAAUAGGUACAUUCUUAUGAAUUCAAUAUCUUGUUUAAGUUAUAAGUUUAGUAUGAUGCCGUAAUAAAUGAUUCUUUUGUAUAGAUAUAAUAUUAUGACGUCAAACAUAGUUGAAUCAGUGAAUUCAUUGUUUAUGCUGAAAGAGAAUUUUCCAUUGUGGCGCUAUUUGAUGAAAUAAAUAAGAAGUAUGGAAAAUUAUUUCACAAAAGACGUGGGUAGUUCGCGAAUGAAGGAACCAAAUUUUUUCUAGAAGCGGAAAAACAAAUAUCAACGAACAUCAAUUUGGGGAAUAGGUUAUUUGCUCAUCAAAUAGCAGAUUACAAGUUCAGUAUUGACGGUCAUGGUGAUGUUGCCAUGGUUAAUCUUCAAACAAAAUAUUGUAUGUUCAGAGUUUUUGACUUGGAAAAAAUAUCAUGUCCAUAUGCUAUGGCAGCGCUUCGAGCCCAAUACGGUUCACAAUAUAGAACUAAAAUUUAUGAGAGAUCAUCUCCAUAUUAUGCAAUAAAAAGAUAUAUAAUGAAAUACAGUGAGAAUAUUAAUUCACUGCCUCCCGAAGAAUCUUGGGUUAUUCCUGUAGAGCUUUUGGAGAGAUUAAUACCUCCUUCAUAUAUUGACCUAAGCACUAUCAAAUUGGGAAGAAGGUGAUAUAAGAGAAGGCGUGGUAUCGGAGAAUGAUUUCCAUCAAAAAAAUACAAGUACUCCGUAUUGGAGAACGCUGGCCGCAAAAAGACUACAUGCCCAGAUCAUAAUCCACCAUGAUAGUUGUAAUAGCAAAACUAGUGUUGUUGUUUGUUAUGGACUUUGCUAUUUUUAACUCAUUAUUGUGAACAUAAAUGUUAUUAUUUAUGUAACACCCCAAAUAUGGUACUCAGAAUGCUACACGAUGCUUAUGACCCCAAAGGACCACAAGCUAACCCAUGACUAAUAUUUGUACCUAUACACUACAAAAUAUAUGGUAUAUAUAUACAUACACUGUAAAAUAUAGAAUAGAAGCUAUAUGGCCAUAAGGUUUAAAACUGAAUAAACAUCUAAUAAAAUAAUGUCUGAAAAAUGGUACAAUCAAUACCAAAAUGAAUCUGAAGUAAUUGUCUGACAUGCUAUAGUCUGAAAGCCUCUAAACUAUCUAAAUAAGGAGUUGAUGAGAUAUGUUCCCAACUAACACCAUCUACUAAAAUAAAUAAGUAUUGAAAGAUUGACAUAAUCAAAUAAUAUCAUCCUCGAAUGAUGAGGACUCACUGCUAACUAACUGCUGCUAUUUAGAAUCUACUGAUGCUUUGGAAGGCGUGUCUCUGAACCUAUGGUAUAAAACACCAUAGCGCAAAUGCGUUAAUACUUUAAAUGUACUGGUAUGCAAGUGAGGUAGGCUGAAUGCAAAGGGUUCAUAUGCAUGAACAAUACUAAUUAACUGACUAACAUGAACGUGAGAAUACAUAUAUGCAUACGUAACUGAAUCUAACAUCGUGAUAGAACAGAAUACUGAGUUCUGACUAUUGAGUCUACUAAUAACAUGGAUUUACUGAAAUCUGAGUACGUGAAUACUGGGAUACUGAAUAACUGAGUCUAUUGAUAUUGAUAUCUGGGUCACUAAUAAGUGAGAAACUUAUACUGCAUUACUGAAUACUGAGGUAUUGAUAUUAUGUUACUGAUAUAUGAGUAACUAUUUUUCAUAGUUCUAAUUUAUGAAGAAUUGGUCUGGUUGACUAUAUCUGAUAGUGCUAAAGUUGAAUACUGAUAACAUGAGUUCUGAUAACUGAUAUAAUUGAUAACAUGAGGGACUGUAUCUGACAAUACUAAAUCUUAUGGAACUAACUGAGUUUCAUACUUUAUCUGAGUUGACUGUAUCUGUCAGUCUAUAUUCUGAUGAACUAUCUGAGUUCUAUUAUUGAGACUGAGACUAAAACUAAGACUGUAGGAGGUAAUCAUCUAACCAACACACCCUAGAACUGAAUUGGUAGGGUCCAACAUAUAACCCCAGGUAGAAGGGUGUCAAUACCAUGCCAUGGGUAAAGACAAACUGUGAGUAUACCCUCGCUGAUAGGGAGCUCUUUCGUCAACCCCUCUUGAUAGAAAAGUCAAAUAAGAUGUAUAAAUCCCUAAAUACGUAGGGUUCACUCUCCCUACACUAGCUACGUAGUUUUGGAAUGCAGGGAUUGCUACUAAGGAUCACACCCACUACUGGCUGAGAGUGUGUAUCCUCAUCCCUGGGUUCAGUCGGUGUUGAAUCCUACUCCCAAUUGAAUAUACACUAAACUUAUUAACUGAACUGAACUGAUACUGAUGGUAUUAUUUAGAUGAGCUGAGAUGAUUUCACUGAGUUUCGUUGACUGAUAGAAUACCACUGAGGUCUAAGGACUGGCUGAGAGUACUGAAGUUACUGAGAUUAUUGAGAAUGCUGAAGUGUUAGAGAUUAUGAGUACUGAGAUCAUUAAGAUUACUAAACUACUGGGAUUACUGAGAUUUCUGGGUUUUCCUGAGUCACAUGACUGACUGAGUUCUAUUGAUCCUGGCUUGACAGAGAGUAUUAUGAAAACAUGACAUGGAUCUAAGCACACAUCUAAAUUGUAGGGUACAAGUAACUCUAGGACUCAGUAGAAUGAAACUGACAAGAUAAGACACUUCUUGAACACAUGAACAAUCUCAACAAUUAAUAAUACAAUAGUUGGGAUUAUUUCAUGAGGCACUUGAUUGUCAUAAUCUUAUACAUAGAUAAGGGAACAAAUAAUCAUGGCUUAAUUACAUACUUCUAACAUCAUGAACACUUUAUUAAGCAAGCAUAAUGCAUAAUCAAUUAUAGGGGAGUCAUAUUGAAAAUGAGCAAUUGGCAUGCAUUUAUCAUGUAAACCACAAUUGGGUCAUUAUUCAUGAUUUCUACUAUACUAGGCAUUUCAUUAAACACCUUGCAUGCACAAUUUAAGGCAUAGGUAUGAUCAUCAAUUAAAUACAAUAUGAUUUCAUCAUUUAACUCCAUUACAUGAAUUUCAACCCUAUACUAACAUGUUUUCAUGAAAACAUGGUAACGAUUCAAUCUUGGUAGUCAUACAACUAUAACAACAUGAACAAAAUCAAUUCACCACAUAAAUAUCAUGAUAUAAAAUUUAAAAGAGGAUUAUUGGGCUUCAUGGAUGAAAGGGAUCCAUGAAUGAAUACUAUAUAUACCUUAUCUUGUGAUUCUACGAAGAUUGACGGAGAGAUUCUUGAAAUUUGAUGGUGAAUUCCCUUGGAAUUAAACCUUCUAUGAAAACCCUAGGGCUUGUUCUUGAGAUAAAUUGUUAAAAGAGAAUAUAAUUUGAUGUUUUUAAGCCUUAAUCCCGUGUUUUUGAUAUAUAUAUAUAUAUAUAUAGGGGUGGGAGAAUGACCAAAUUAACCCCCAAGACACGGAAGUGUAAUGCUGAAAAUAGGGUACAAAGGCUACACAAAGGGCGGCGCCUUUGGUAGAGCCUUUUUUACCCUGGGGGGUGCUUUUGGUAGUGAUUUGUGGAACCUGGGAGGCGCCUUUGGUGUUGAAUUGCCCACAAAGGCUAUACCAUGGGUGGCGCCCCUUCAUAACAUUUGGCUACUAGUUUGAAAUCCAAACAAGGACUAAACGGAUUCCGAGAAAUUCCAAAACUCACCCGUAAUGUACCAUUUCCUUUCCCCAUCGCAACCCAACUUGAAAAUCAUAAAAUGUAGGUUGGGAAGGUUGUCAAAUAAAUCCCCAAAGUUAGGAGGCUUAAAAUGAGACUAAGUGUUGAACACUUAUCAAAAUUUUCUAAGUGUUGGAUCUUUUAAAGAGAUUCAAGGAGCUAAACGAGCUGAAUUCAAAUGCAAAAUUUUAUGGGGUCUUACAAUAUCUCCCCCUUAGGAAUAUUCAUCCUCAAAUGAGGCUGACUGAGAUAGGAGAAAAGAUCAACUAAAGUAUAUAUAGACAUACACAACUAAAAACAUGAGAUCAUGACUGACAUAACUAAAGAGUUGAAUAUAACAUACGGAACAUACAUAUCUGAUGCAUGGCUGAUUAUCUAAAUUCAUGCAUAUCUGAUUCAUGGAUACGUGACUGACACGAUACAUGAAUACAUGACUGAAAGUACUGAUAAGAUGAUCACGCACAUCUUAUGUGUGAAUAUAUAACUGAACUGGCCCAUGAACAUGCGACUGAACAUGCAAUGGUAAGGAUACCAAGUUCGAACUGAGCAUGGAACUGAAUGUCAAGUUGGUAAUGGAUUUGAACAUGAUAACUGAGUUUUCUCCAGAUGAGAAUGCAUAUCUGAUGCAUAAUUACCUGACUGAACUGAUAGAUAAAUGUAGGACUAGAUGUGCAUUAGUGAUUGACACCAAGCUUGUAAUGGGAAUCUGAUAUCAAGUUCGUAAUGGUAGUUUGAACAUGGAACUGAGUAGGUUUAAGAAAAUGUUAUGGAAACUGAUAAGUACUGAUAAACCCAUAAUUAUGCUAGAAGUAUGCAUGUACGAGCAUAUGAGGACAUGACUAAUACGGGAACGUGAUUCAUAAAUUCCGUGAAUUGAACUGAGUCUUAAAUACAUGGUGUACAAUUGAAGUUGGGGCUUGAGGUCGACUAAUGAGUACCCCUUACUCCAAACUAAAUUCUCUAUGUAAAGAUAGAAUAGGAUGAUUAUGCUAUGAAAGUUUGGGGAAAUUAUAGCGUAUCUCCCCCUUGGGACACUAUGUCUCUUGAAGAAUGCUGACUUUACUGAGAUAUUGAAGAAAGACUAAAGCGAUGCACAAGGUACCUAAGAACUGAAUCAUGACUGAUUAUCUGAGAUCUAAAACUGAGGCAUGAUACAUGAACUAAGUUGAGCUUGAAUCUACAUGAUUGGUUUAUCUUAGAAUAGUUUCACUCAUGAGAUUUCGGAUAGUGUGAAUAGAUGGAAAGAUGGGAAACCAAAUUAUAAAAACUUGUCUGACUGACUGCUAGACUGAAGUACUGGAUAUUUAAACUAAUUCCCUACUGACUGACUCAUCUGAUAUGCUGACUAAUUAAUGGUUAGGUACUAAGCAUGUGUGAUUGAACGACACUUAGUUUGAAUAACUAGGCUGAGGAUAUGGAGUUUUUCUUAUGAACAUGAGAAAGGGACUAACUGAGUAACAUGACAUAGCUAAGUGUGAAUUCAUGCAAUACUAAAUUAUCUGAGGAUGCAAGGCCAGGCGAAUAACAUGGUUUGGAAAUAUUUUAUAAACUGAGGUACUGAAGCACUGAUGACAUGCAGGACUGAUAACUACACGCUAUGGUUAAGAAAUACCUGAAGUUAGACUGUGGUACUAAUCUAAUUUCUGAACUGAGGCUGACACUAUAUCUAAGACUAUAGUAGAAACUGUAACUUACUUUGUAAUUGGGACUCAUACAGGAACUGAAUGUUGGUUUCUGAUAAUUAAGGUUUAGACUGAUAUUGAGGUACUGAGACUAGAUACUGAUAACUACUUGAGGAAGAUUGACAUAUGCAAGGAUCCGAUGCUCAAACAAAUACUAUAUUAAACUUAACACUUGACUAAGGCCUGAGGAACAAAAUAUCAACAUCAUAGAUUUAUCAAGAGAUUUAAACCAAGGGUAUACAUGAUGUAAUCUAAGCUUGACUGAUCACUAGGAGUAGAGCAUGAUUCAUGUGGACUGAACAUAUGGUAAAACAUGACAUGAGUGCCUGAGUCAUGAGCUGCAUGACCUGAGUCUAAAAUUUCUGUGUUCAUGGAACAUGAUUCGUAACACUAAGCAAACUGAAACUCCUGAAUCUAAAGAAACAUGAACAUUCAAAUAAGGGAUCUGUAACUUACAAGUGACUGCAUCAGGAGGAUUUUCAUGAUUUUAUCAGGAUUGAAGUGUAUAAAGUCCGUUUGGGCGUUGCCCACUGAUAGUGCUGGAAUUGGCACCCUAUUGAUUUGGGCGAUUGGACUGAGCUAAGAAAUAACCUUGCUGACUUUGAGGACCAGGUUUAGGACAAUCUCGGACCUUGUGACCUAACUCACCACAUCUGAAACACACACCACUGUCGGCUCUACACACACCCUUAUGAUGCUUACCACACUCUUUGCAAAGCGGAUGAGUAAGAAUUCUGUUCUCAUUACCCUGGGCCUUGGAGCCUGAUGCCCCAUUACUACGGUUAUUUCUAAACUUUGGUACCAGUGCACUAGCUGAAGAGUGAACUGGGGAUGAAUAUUUCUAACACAGCUGAAAAUGAUUUUAUCACCCUGCCACCCUGACUGAGAAAAACUAUAACUACCUGUUCUGGCUCUCUUAUUUUCUCUCUCUUUCUUCUUAAGCCUAUGCUCCUCCAUCUGUUGGGAAUAGAUCAUAAGCCUAGAUAUGUCCAUAUCACUAAUUAACAUUGCAGUCCUGUGCUACUUAACCACUUUACCUGAUACCCCUAACACAAACUUACUCAUUUUGGAUCUACUGUCUGCUACUACAUGGGGAGUGUACCUGGCUAAUUAAAUAAACUUAAUAGAAUGUUUUUUUACACUCAUAGAACCUUGUCUGAUAUUGAUGAACUCUAACACUUUGGCUUCUUUUUGCUCUAGGGUAAAGAAUCUAUCUAAAAAGAUUGUAGCAAACUCUUCCCACUCUAUGGGCUCUAUCUCUGUAUGCCUAUCUACCUUCCACUGUUUAUACCACGUAUGGCCUAUAUCUUGUAGCUGAUAAGUGGCUAACUCUACGCUCUGAUUGGAAUUCACUUCCAUGAUAUCUCUGACUUUCUGAACCUGGUCGAGAAACUCUUAUAGAUCCUCUUCAGACUUGGAACUGGUGAAUAAGGGAGGAUUCAUUCAGGUGAAGUACCAAAUCUUGAAUAUAGAAACAUUGGCAACUGGGUUAACCGGAAUAGCAGUUGGUUAUUCAUUUUGAGUUGCAACUGAACUGGCUAGAGUAGUGAAUGCAGUCCUAAAUUCUGCAUGAGAAAUAAUUUCAUCCAGAGAAUCUUUCUGAAUUGGGUGAGGUGUUGACUGAUUUUUGGUUCCCUUUUCGUUAGCCCUUUUGGGAGGCAUGUUCAGUAAAUAAAAGAAAGAAGUAGAUUAGAAUGAGAGUUCAACUAGAGCUCAUGCUCACUGGUAUGACAUGAAUACUGAAAGAAGGGAAACUAUUCCUAAAAUAUCUCAUAGCCUCUUGCACAUAAAUAUGGUGGAUAACAACCCAUGUAUAAGACUCUACAAGAUGUAGCUUUCAGAUUUCCUAGGACAUUAUUAAACCUUAGGCUCUGAUACCAAGUUUGUAACACCCUAAAUCUAGUACCCAAAAAGCUACACGGUGCUCAUGACCCUGAAGGACCACAAGCUAACCCAUGACUGAUAUUUGUACCUGUACAUGGCAAAAUAUAUGGUAUAUACAUAUACAUGUACUGUAAAAUAUAGAAUAGAAGCUCUAAGGCCAUAAGGUUCAAAAAUGAAUAAACAUCUGAUAAAUAAUAUCUAAAAAAUGAUACAAUCAAUACCAAAAUGAAUCUGAAGUAACUGCCUGACAUGCUAUAGACUGCAACCCUCUAAACUAUCUGAAUAAGGAGUUGAUGGGAUAUGUCCCUGAUGUGUGAGCAUAUGCUAACACAUUUGAGGCUUUUAACUCUAAAUAAUUGUAAGGUCUUGAGAAACUUUAGUUAUUUUUUAUUCGUUUAUGUUUGAUUUUGCAGUUUAAGCUGAUAUGAUAGAGAACCAACAUAAAAUAAAGCAAAGAAGUUAAAAUUUGAAGAAAUCUGAAGACAAGUGUAGAUGACGACAUUUGUGAUAAGUCGCCAGCCUUGUGAUAAGCUAUCAGGUUGGUCGUCAUCAGUAGACAAAGAAUUUACCUAAAGUGGAAGUUGUGACGAUAUUUUAUGAUAAGCCGUCAAGGGUCUGAUAAGUUAUCAGGAAUGUCUUCAGCUUAAGGCAGCCAAGGAGAACUGAAGCAAAGCCUUGACGAUAUUUUGUGAUAGGCCAUCACAUAGCUGAUAGGUUAUCAAGUUUGUCGUAAGCCUUAAGCAGGAAGAGCCAAAAUUUAAGAAGAAGCUGACGAUAUUUGUUAUAAGUCGUCAGCUUCCUGAUAAGAUAUCACAAAUGUCGUUGGCUAAUCCAAAGGAUUUCUGAUUUUUAUUAACUUGUUUCCUUAUUUAGAGUAAACUAUUUAAAGCUUUGUUUUAGGGGUUUUUAGACAUUAUUAUUAUUAUUAUUAUUAUUAUUAUUAUUAUUAUUAUUAUUAUUCCAUACAAGGUCGACACCUUGAGUUUUGGAUAGUAUAUUUUGAUAUUUUCUCUCUUUACUUCUUGACUUUAAUAACACAACUAUUUUUGAGAGAUUAUUAUCAGUAUUUUGGGAUUUUUCCUUUGUAAUCUAAUCUGUAAUUCACUAGUUAUUAUUCAUCUCUAUAAGUUUAUCUUUCAAAUCAUGAAUUCAAUUAUGUGUUUCGUUUGUUACAUCAUGAGUGGCUAAACUCCAUUAACCUGAGUUAUGGGAUCUAGGGUAAGGUCUUAAUAAGGUGCUAAGUAUUCAAAAUUCAAAAGGUGGUAGGAUUUCUUGAUAAUUCUGAAGUUUUAAUUAACAUCUGUUGGUUGGAAAUAGUAGACACAUUUGAUUUGAUUUUCUUGAGAAAGAAAUCAAAUAUAGUAGGAAGUGAAUUAUCAACAGGGGCUCGAAAAUACUUCGUUUAAUAAUCAGUGUUGUAACAAGGUUGGUUAACUUGAGGUAAAAUCUGGGCAGUAAAUAAAAAUUUCCUAAGUCCGAGAGGAUUAGGGAAUUAAACACUUAAGUAUGCUGAGAGACAUUUAAGCAUAACAUCGAUAAAUAUAGCUUGUUAUCCUACCCACUAUGAGAAUCUUGAUCCACUUUUAGCAUCUAUUAUGUAUCGGAAGCCCUAGUAAACAUAAUUCUAGUUAUUUCAUAAACUCUUGAUUUACAAACACAGAAAGUAAAGCGACAAACAACAACUUGUUAAACCUAAACCCCCUAUUUCAGGAAAUAUUAAACUAUCGAUAAUUAAAUCGCAAACAACUUGAGUUCACGCCAUAUUCUCUGUGGGAUUCGACCCCAACCUAGUUGGGUUUUAUAUUGACAACGAUUGCUUAUACCCAUUCAAGAGUGUAAUUUGAGCUUUAUUAAAAAUGGCGCCAUUGCUGGGGAAUACGGUUGUAAACUGAAGUUUGUAUGCGCUAAUUGAUUGUUAGUUAAGUUUCCUAGAUUUAUGUUUAUUUGUUGUUUUUGUUUAUUUGCAGGAUUUUAUAGUGUACGCCAAGCAGGCAAAGUUCCAGAGAAAUAUUAUUGCCACUAAAUCCGAAACCGCAACAAAUAGGAAGAAUGGCAGAAUAGCAAGAGGCUAACAGACUGACAACCUUAGCUAAAGCUCAGGUGAAUGUGCAAAAUGUCAGGCAACAUACACGACAUCCAAACCCUGAGGAUGAAUAUUUGGGGGACGAGAAGUUAUUGAACCCUAGUAAACCAAGGAGUGUAGAGCAGAUAGCUACACAGGUGCCACAUAAUGUUAACCAGAACUAUCCGUUCCAAAGAAGACAAGAGUACCAUCCGGUCUAGUAUGAUCUGAAUGAUGAUGAUGAUGAUGAUGAUGAUGGAAUGGAUGGGGCAGGCAUAACAGGUGCAAUUAUUCCUCCACCGUUGGCACCUAGAGCCAAGUUCAACAUUACGAGUACUAUAAUCCAACUCCUCAAUCUAAAGGAGUUGUUUGGUGUCCUUCUUAGGGAUGAUUCGAACCUGCAUCUGGUGAAUUUUGUCUCUAUUUGCAAAUCCUUUGAUAACCCAGGAGUGGGCCAGAACGCUAUCCAGUUGAGGUUGUUCUCGUUGUCUCUGUCUGAGGAGGCAACAUUAUGGCUGAAUGAGCUUACGCUUGAUUCCAUCAAACACUGAAGGCAAUUAAAAGAAGUAUUCCUAGAAGCAAUUUUUCCACCCUCCAGAAGGGUACAGUUGAGGGACGAAAUCAGUAAUUUUAGACAGCUCCCUACUGAAGCUUUGCAUGAGACUUGGGAGAGAUUUAAAAAGAAGCUAACAUAGUGUCUGAACCAUAUUAUGAUAGGCCUACACUUUAUGGAGACUUAUACAAGGCCCACAACUCUGUAACAAAGUCGAUUAUAGAUAAUGUCGGUGGUGGUUCAUUUGUUAAUCUGUCUUUUCAAGAUGCCUUAGAUACGCUAAAUAGGAUGUUUAAAUAGAAUUGAGCUUGGCAUACCAUAGAGUCUAUGGUAGCAAGCCCCACUAUUUCUAUUAGUAUGUCUGCUGAACAAUGCAGGAGAAAUAAGGAGCGGGAUCAAGACAUGGCCCAUCUAAAGACUCAGAUGGACUUGCUCACCAAGCACUUAUUAUUAGGGAAGACUGAGAAAGUGAAAUUUGUAAUGUCUCAAGACCGAGUGGAUGUAGAGCCUGAAGAUGAGGCAAAUUAUGUUAAUAAUCAGGGGGUUCUGAGGCAAUAGCCAAGGGAAUCAAGGUUAGAAUAUUUAUGACAUGCCUAGUUACAAAGACAGGGAGUAACUUUAAAUAAUUGUAAGGUCUUGAGCAACUUUAGUUAUUUUUAUUAGUUUAUGUUUGAUUUUGCAGUUUAAGCUGAUAUGAUAGAGAACCAACAUGAAAUAAAGCAAAAAAGUUGAAAGUUGAAAUUUGAAGAAAUCUGAAGACAAGUAUGGCUGACGACAUUUGUGAUAAGUCGUCAACCCUGUGAUAAGCUAUCAGAUUGGUCGUCAUCAGUAGACAGAGAAUUGGCCUAAAGUGGAAGUUGUGAUGACAUUUUGUGAUAAGCCAUCAAGGGUCUGAUAAGUUAUCAAGAAUGUCAUCAGCCUAAGGCAGCCAUGGAGAACUGAAGUAAAGCCUUGAUGCCGUUUUGUGAUAGGCGAUCACGUAGCUAAUAGGUUAUCAAGUUUGUCGUCAGCCUUAAGUAGGAAGAACCAAAAUUGAAGAAGAAGCUGAUGACAUUUGUGAUAAGUCGUCAGCUUCCUGAUAAGCUAUCACAAAUGACAUUGGCUAAUCCGAAGGAUUUCUAAUUUUUAUUAAUUUGUUUCCUUAUUUAGGGUAAACUAUUUAAAGCUUUGUUUUAGGGUUUUCUAGACAUUAUUAUUAUUAUUAUUCCGCACAAGGUCAACACCUUGAGUUUUGGACAUCAUAUUUUGAUAUUUUCUCUCUUUACUUCUUGACUCUAACAACACAACUAUUUUUGAGAGAUUAUUAUCAGUAUUUUGGGAUUUUUCCUUUGUAAUCUAAUCUGUAAUUCACUAGUUAUUAUUCAUCUCUAUAAGUUUAUCUUUCAAAUCAUGAAUUCAAUUAUGUGUUUCGUUUGUUACAUCAUGAGUGGCUACAUCCAUUAACCUGAGUUAUGGGAUCUAGGGUAAGGUCUUAAUGAGGUGCUAAGUAUUCAAAAUUCAAAAGGUGGUAGGAUUUCUUGAUAAUUCUGAAGUUUUAAUUAAUGUUUGUUGGUUGCAAAUAGUAGACACACCUACUUUGAUUUUCUUAAGAAAGAAAUCAAAUAUAGUAGGAACUGAAUUAUCAGUAGGGACUCAAAAAUACUUCGUUUAAUAAUCAAAGCUAUAACAAGGUUGGUUAACCUGAGGUAAAAUCUGGGCAGUAAAUAUGAUACAAGUCAAAUGGCCACCUUAGCUUUUGAGGACAUCCUGCGAGGCCAACACAAGAAGAACCCAAUUGUGGUCAUAUUGAGGGCACGGGAGAACGCAUGGGGGACUCAUUUUAAGCCCACAAUAGACCAUUCCCAUGUAUGGAAGGUUGCUUGGAAGCUUGCUUUAAUGAGAUGCCUAAGAGGUUCAAGUGUUGAAGAAUAAUUGUGAAGAUCAAAAAGACUCAAGGAAAGUCAUAUGUUGAAGUGUGAAGAAGACCACAUCAAAAUACUACAUGAUCACCCAUUCAUUAAGGGUGUAAUGGUCUUUUUAUGCUUUUUCUUUACACUCCAUAGGAGCCCCUUUUCAUUAAAGGUAUUUUGGUCUUUAAUGUAAUAAGUAUAAAAGACUCCUUAGGCUUAUUUUUCAGUUGACUUGGAUGAAAUUGGAUAUUAUUCUUAGAUUCUAGCUUUAGUCUUGUAAUUUUAGCUCUCAAUGCCAAAAUUGGUUCCUUGAAUACAUUUGAAGUUAGGGUUUCAAUUGUAUUAGGAAACUUGGCAAGAAAGGUGUGCUUGAGGAAGAGUGUUUCCUUUGGAUCACCUAAGAGAGUGGUUUGAUCUUACAUUGGUGAUGUGUGUUUGAAGGUUUGAUACACCUUCUAGUGUUAUUCAUUGGUGGAAGUGAGGGUCUCUCUAACAUCCCUAAAUCUUGGUUUUAGUGUUCUUAUAUAGAAAAUCUCAUCAAAAAGGAGUCGAAAAUCAGAAAAUACCAAAAAAAAAAUUAUGUGUUGUCUUGUGUGUUUGUUGUAGAUCCAAUUUUUCCUAGUUAGAUCUACAAGUUUUUGUUUUGUUUUUAAGGUUUCUAGUGCUAGAUCCUUUCUCUCUAGCACAUAGGGAGUCUAGAUCUACUUUUAGAGUGAAGUUUGGUUGUUUUUGAGCUAGAUCCACCAUUGUUGUGGCUUAUUUGAAGCUUUUGGAGAGGGUGACGUUUUUUGUCUUGUGUUGGUGACUUGAUUUGUGGCUGAUUUUUAGUUGUUUGAGGUUGUUUUGGCAUAAGGAACCUAGAUCUUCAAAAAAAAUCAGAUUUGGUGUUCAUUUGCUAGGUGCUCAAACUUUGGUCAACUCUUAAUUAUUCAUCUUGUUCUUCCAUGCUCAUCAAGUCUUGCUAAGGAAGAAUAUUCAAAAAGUGUGUUUGAUCCAAAAAAAAGGAGAAGAAAGAGAGAGUACUUGGUGUUUGUGAAGGAAUAUUCCUUGGUAUAUUCAUAGUGAUCUAAAAGAAAUAAGAGACAAAGGGAAUAAUCAAGUACAAUUGAAAGUACAAGGAGGGGAGGACCAAUCCAUUUUGAAUUCAUUUGAAGCUCCAAAAGGGCUCCAAAACCUUCAAUUUUUCCCUCCCAUACGAAAUUUCUUCUUCUUUUAAGUGUGUUUGGCCGAAACAAGUGUAUUGAGAUUUAAAAAUUUUGAAAAGUGACAUCCAAUCGCAAGCUGUCAUGUCAUCACUUAUACAAACAACCAAAUUGAGUUCUAAAAUUAGAUUUCCUAGUUUCUAUUUGUUGUUUCUAGUUGCUUUUGUGUUGAUUCUAUUACUAAUUAGUAAGCUAUUAAUUACCUACUAGUUUGGUAAUUAGAUUAGAGUCCGCUGUUUCGCAUUUUUUAUUUUUGUGUGCUUUUCUCUUUUUCAAGUCGUAGCAUUUUUGUUGGUUCAAGUUUGUGCAUCACUUAUUUUGAGUCGUUUCAAACGAAGAUCCAUUAUGAUUCAAAGCUUCUCACCUCUCAAGUAACUUGCCAAGUAUUACCGGUUCUCCAACACUUGUGAGCCAAGUGUGAUGUAAGGUUGAGUGUGAGUGAAGUGAGGCUUUUGAACUAACUCGUUUGCUCGUUUUGUAGGUUAUUUUGCUUGCUGAUUUUUGCACUUUGUAGGUACAUUUUCCAUGGAAAUCGAAGGUACUACUUCCCAACCUUUGGGAAAUGAUGUUAUGGGAGCUUUGAUAGCCCAAAUGGAGGCCUUGAGUCAAGAAAUGAAGAGCGAAAAUGAUGCUAUAAGGAGUGAUAUGGAUUCAAUAAGGGAUGAAAUGAUUAGAAUUAGAGUGGGGGUUUAUAUACUAUGUCCACCAAAAUCUCUACAAUUCCAAACACCUCAAGUCCAAAGAUCCUAUACUUCACAAAACCAGCCACUAAACCCAAAUGAAAAGGUGAAACAAGGGAGAAAACUUGACAAACUCCCUUGUGAUGUGAGAUUCUCAAAGGAUAAAGUGGGCUUCCAUGAUCCAAACCAAGGCAAAGAAGAAUGUACUGAAGAACAUAAAGGUAAAAUAUCAAAUUCAUACACUUUUAUACAUGUCGACGAUGAUUGUGUGGCUAGUAGCCCAUUGAGCAUGAGUGGUAGCUUAUCUAUUUGUGAGUCUAUUGAUUCUUUGCCUCUUAUUGAUGAUGUACUUGUUAUGAGUAUGGAUACACUAGUUGAUCCUAUUGAUGACUGAAUUGACUCUUCUUGUAAGAUCAAUUUAAGUCCACCUAGUGUUGAAGCCAUUUUGUUGAAUGAUAAUACAUCAUCUAUUGAUUCUUUGCCCCUUGAUGAUGAUGUACAUAUUGUGAAUGUGGAUACACUAGUUGAUCCUAUUGAUGACCGAAUUGACUAUUCUUGUAAGAUCAAUUUAUGUCCACCUAGUGUUGAAGCUAAUGUGUUGAAUGAUAGUACAUCAUCUUGUGGGAAUUGUGUUGAUCAACUUAUGUGUGAAAUUUGUCCACCACUUGAGGAUGUAUGUGAUAUGUUUAAUGGAUCUCAAGUGAGUGAUGAUGUUGAAAAUGUUGAUCAAAUAAAUAGGAGUAACCCCUUUAGCAUAACCUCUAGUGAAUGUUCUACUCCCGAUUUUGCUCAUAGGGAUAAUCAUGUGCUUGAAAUAUCUUUGAUGCUUGACAACGAUCUUUUAGAGAAUGGAUUUGCAUAUUCUACAUCCUCUUCAUGGAUAGAUCCUAAUGAACCUAGUGGUGAGAAUAAAGUUGAAGGUAUAGCUUGUCUUGAAAGCUAUAGCCUAUAUGCCAACCCACUAUGAUGUGACAACAUUCCUCCUAAAUAUGGAAAUCUCUUCUUGGAAGAUGAGAGUACUCUUAAGGGAAGGGAAUGUGAGAUCUUGGAAAGGAAUGAUCAAUUGGGUGAUGAUAAUUUUGACUUGCUUGAAUUCUUAAGAAACCCAAUAAGUGAUUGUUCCUUGAAAAUUGAUUGUGGUUGUGAUCCUUUGUAUGACACCCCACCUAUGUUUGAUGAUUAUGAGGAUGAAUUACUUGCUUCUUGUGAAGACUUAAGAAAUAAUUUCUUUGACUUUGGUGGUGGUAUGUGUAACUUGAGGGUACUUCUAUAGAGAGGGAAAGUGUCCAUUGCUUUGAAAUUACUUCUUCUUCUACUACGUGUGAUCUUAUUGUUGAGAGUACUUAUGGCGAUGAUGUUGAAACUAGUGGUGAGUACACACAUGAAGAUACCUUAGUAGAAGUCAACUUGAGUGAUACCUUUCUUUACUCUCUACUUGCUUUUGAUGACAUGUAUGCCAUUGUAGAGAGUAUGUCGUGUAGUUUGAGUGAAGCCUAUGGGAAAUGGGAGUGUUUUCUAGACCCGUGUCUAUGGCCACUCUUCCCGUUUAACCCCGACGCCAAAUAUAGAAUUGAUGAUGUUGAUGUGCCCAACUUGUUUCUUGGUCUACAUGACAAGCAAAGUAUCAGAUUUGUCAAAUCCAUAACAAAUCCUUUGUACAUCUUUCGUUGAAAUUAUAAUAUUUAAUUUAAGGGAUUCUUGGUUAUAUUGCAAAUAUAUGCAACCUUGGCAUGUUGAGAUGAUUUUUUGUGCUAACCCUAACCCUCAUGCCAUGAGGAGUUUGAAUUUGUUUGUCCUCUCUUUGGUUUUGCUAGGUUUGGAUUCGAGGUCGAAUCUUUUCAAGAAGAGGAGGAUGAUACAAGUCAAAUGUCCACCUUAGCUUUUGAAGACAUCCUGCGAGGCCAACACAAGAAGAACCCAAUUGUGGUCACAUUGAGGGAAUGGGAGCACACAUGAGGGACCCAUUUUAAGCCCACAAUAGAACAAUCUCAUGUAUGGAAACUUGCUUGGAAAAGCUUGCAUUGAUGAGAUGCCCGAGAGGUCCAAUUGUUGAAGAAUAAUUGUGAAAACCAAAAAGACUCAAGAAAAGUCAUAUGUUGAAGUGUGAAGAAGACCACAUCAAAAUACUACAUGAUCACCCAUUCAUUAAGGGUGUAAUGGUCUUUUUAUGCUUUUUCUUUACACUCCAUAGGAGCCCCUUUUCAUUAAGGGUAUUUUGGUCUUUAAUGUAAUAAGUAUAAAUAGACUCCUUAGGAUUAUUUUUCAUUAGACUUGGAUGAAAUUGGAUAUGAUUCUUUGAAUGUAGCUUUAGUAUUGUAGGUUUAGCUCUCAAACCCGAAAUUGGUUCCUUGAAUACAUUUGAAAUUAGGGUUUCACUUGUAUUGGGAAAUUUGCCAAAAAAGGUGUGCUUAAGGAAGAGUGUUUCCUUUGGGUCACCUAAGAGAGUGGUUUGAUCUUACAUUGGUGAUGUGUGUUUGAGGGUUUUAUAUAACUUCUAGUGCUAUUCAUUGGUGGAAGUGAGGGUCUCUCUAUCUAUCUUUAAUUUCAUGCAAUUCUUCUUCUUCAUCUCCUUCUAGUGUGUUGUUUUCUCUUUGUGAACUUGCUGAUUUUUGUUCCUUUAGUGUCCAUUUCAUGUUUGAUAGUCCUUUAGGCUAUCAAAAUAGAAAUUUCCUAAGUCUUAGAGGAUUAGGGAAUUAAAUACUUAAGUAGGUCGAGAAAUAUUUAAGCAUAACAUCGAUAAAGAUAGCUUACUAUCCUACCCACCGUGAGAAUAUUGAACCGCUUUUAGCAUCUGUCAUGUACCGGAAGCCCUAGUGAACAUAAUUCUGGUUAUUUCAUAAACUCUUGAUUUACAAACACCGAAAGUAAAGUGACAAAAAACAACUUGUUAAACCUAAACCCCAUAUUUCAGGAAACAUUAAACUAUCAGUGGAUUAAAUCGCAAACAACUUGAGUUUACACCAUAUUCCCUGUGGGAUUCAACCUCAACCUAGUUGGGUUUUAUAUUGAUAACGAUAACCUACACCCAUUCAGGAGUGUAAUUUGAGCAUUAUCAGUCCCCAACUAACUCCAUCUACUGAAAUAAAUAAGCUCAAAAAGAUUGACAUAAUCAAAUAAUAACAUCCUCGAAUGAUGAAGACUCACUCCUAACUGACUACUGAUAUCUGGAAUCUACUGAUGCUCUGGAGCUCGUGUCUCUGAACCUAUGGUAUAAGGCAUCAUAGCACAAAUGCAUCAGUACUUUGAUGUACUGGUAUGCAAGUGAGGUAGGCUGAAUGUAAGGGGUUCAUAUGCAUGAACAAUACUAAUUGACUGACUAACAUAAAUGUGAGAAAACAUACAUGCAUACAUAACUGAAUCUGACAUCGUAAUAGAACUGAAUACUAAGUUCUAACUAUUGAGUAUACUAAUAACAUGGAUUUACUGAUAUUUGAGUACGUGAAUACUGGGAUACUGAAUAACUGAGUCUAUUGAUAUUGAUAUCUGGAUCACUAAUAAGUGAGAAACUGAUACUAUAUUACUGAAUACUGAGGUACUGAUACUAUGUUACUGAUAUAUGAGUAACCAUUUUUGACAAUUCUAAUUUAUGAAAAACUGGUCUAAGUUGACCGUAUCUGACAGUCUAUAUUCUGAUGAACUAUUUGAGUUCUAUUAUUGAGACUGAGACUAAGACUAAAACUAAGACUGUGGGAGGUAAUCAUCUAACAGACAUGCCCUAAAAUUGAACUGGUGGGGUCCAACCUGUAACCCCAGCUGGAAGGGUAUCAAUAUCGUGCCAUGGGUAAAGACAAACUGUGAGUAUACCCUCACUUACAGGGAGCUCUUCCAUAAGCCCCUCCUGCUAGAAAACUCAAAUGAGAUGUAUAGAUCCCUAAAUGCGUAGGGUGAAUCUCUCCCUACGCUGGCUACGUAGUUCUGGAAUACAGGGAUUGCUACUAAGGAUCGUACCAUCUACUAAAUCAUAGUGCAUAUCCUCAUCCUUGGGUUCACUCGGUGCUGAAUCCUACUCCCAACUGAAUAGACACUAAACUGAUUAACUUUAUUGAUUAACUAAACUGAACUGAUACUGAUGGUAUUACUUAGUUGAACUGAGCUGAGUUUGCUAAGUUCCAUUGCCUGACAAAGUACCACUGAGAUCUGAGGACUGGCUAAGAGUACUGAAGUUACAGAGAUUAUUGACAAUGCUGAAGUUUCUGAGAUUAUGAGUACUGAGAUCAUUGAGAUUACUAAUUACUAGGAUUGCUGAUAUUUCUGAUAUUUCUGGGUUUUCCUGAGUCACAUGACUGACUGAGUUCUAUUGAUCAUGGCUUGACUGAGAGUAUCGUGAAAACAUGACAUGGUUCUAGGCAUAUAGCUAAAUUGUCAGGUACAAGUACCCCCAAGAUUUGGUAGAAUGAAACUGACAAGACAUGACACUUCUUGAACACAUGAACAAUCUCAAAAACUAAUAAUACAAUAGUUGGGAUUAUUUCAUUAGGUACUUGAUUGUUAUAAUCUUAUACAUGGAUAAGAGAACAAAUAAUCAUGGCUUAAUUACUUCUAACAUCAUGAACACUUUAUCAAGAAAGCAUAAUGCAUAAUCAAUUAUCGGGGAGUCAUAUUGAAAAUGAGUAAUUGGGAUGCAAUUAUCAUGUAAACCACAAUUGAGUCAUUAUUCAUGAUUUCUACUGUGAUAGGCAUUUUAUCAAACACCUUGCAUGCACAAUUUAGGGCAUAAGUAUGAUCAUCAAUUAAAUACAAUAUGAUUCCACCACUUAAAUCCAUUGCAUGGAUUUCAACCCUAUACUAACAUGGUUUCAUGAAAAUAUGGUACAGAUUUAAUCUUAGUAGUCAUACAACAUAACAACCUGAACAAAAUCAAUUCACCACAUAAAUAUCAUGAUAUAAAAAUUAAAAGAGGAUUCUUGGGCUUCAUGGAUGAAAGGGAUCCAUGAAUGAACACUAUGCAUACCUUAUCUUGUGAUUCUACAAAGAUUGACGAAGAGAUUCUUGAAAUUUGACGGUGAAUUCCCUUGGAAUUGAACCUUCUAAGAGAACCCUAGGGCUUGUUCUUAAGAGAAAUUGUGAAAAAAAAGUAUAAUUUGGUGUUUUUAAGCCUUAAUCCCAUGUUUUUGACAUAUAUAGGGGUGGGAAAAUGACCAAAUUAACACCCAAGACACGGAAGUGUAAUGCUAAAAAUUGGGUACAAAGGCUACACAAAGGGGGGCACCUUUGGUAGAGCCUUUUGUACCCUGGGCGGUGCUUUUCGUAGUGCCUUGUGGAACCUAGGCGGUGCCUUUGGGGUUGAAUUUCUCACAAAGGCUAAACCAUGGGUGACGCCCCUUCAUAGCCUUUGACUACUGGUUUAAAAUCCAAACGAGGCCUAAACGAUUUUGAAAAUUCCAAAACUCACUCAGAAUGUACCAUUGCCUUGCCCCAUCUCAACAUAACUUGAAAAUCACAAAACGGAGGUUGGGAAAGUUGUAAAAUAAAUCCCCACAGUUCGAAGGCUUAAAAUGUGACUAAGUGUUGAACACUUACCAAAAUUUUAUAAGUGUUGGAUCUUUUAAAAAGCUUCAAGGAGCUAAAUAAGCUGAAUUCAAAUGCAAGAUUUUAUGGGGUCUUACAAUUUGUUAUAUAAAAUAUCUUUUUUAUUAACUUGUGCAUCAAUAAAAAAAAGGUAAUAGGAACUAAAUACAAUAGACCACAAAAUCAUUUUCAGUAAACUACUCAUCUGUUGCAACAGAUGGACAUUUGCUGGAAGAAUACAAUAUAGUUCACCAAACUGGAAGAUGCUCCUCCAACAAAUGACCAAUAUGUCACAACAGAUGUGUAAUCUAUUAGAGAAACACAAUACAUUUCUUGCUAAUUGUUUGUGUUAAUCCAAUAGAUGACCAAUCUAUUUCAACAGAUGGUUCAUAUAUUGAAAAAACUCAAAACUCUUGCUAUUGCUAAUGGAUUCAAAAUUGUGUCAAAUGCUCAAUCCCUACCUCCAACCGUCGACAUGCUGAGAAGAAGAAAUAGACAGAAUGAAAAUUAAAUAAUAAUUAAUAAGUCAAAGUCGAUCAAACAUAAAUUCUUUCAGUAAACAAAAACAAAAUACAUUAGGUAGGAAGAUCAAAUAUAAAUUUUAAGAAAAUACAUAAGCUAAAAAAGGCAUAAUCUAAUUAUUAUCAUCUUUAUCAUUAUUAUUAUUAUUGUCAGAUGACCAAAUGUCAACCAACAGUAGCAGAGCCCUCCUUAGCCUACGAAUCUCUCGGAGCAUCCUUGCUCUCAUGACACCCAACUCCCACUGAAAGUCAUUAAUCUGCCUCUGAAGUUCCCGCACGGUGUCGCUCAAAAUAGCAAUGUCCCAAAUAGGAUCUGUCAUAUCUAGAACAACAUGAAUUGACAAAAAAAUGUAAACACAAAAUUAGAGAAAAAAGUCUAAAUGUAAUACGACGUAUACUACAAACUAGGUAGAUUUACACCCAAAAAGAACUACCUGAGUCAGGGAAAGGAAGCUCGUCUAUAAAGAGAAGUGGUUGGAGAUGUAAUAUGAAAGACAAGAGGCAAAAAAUAAAUAAAGUAUAGUAGAAUGAACGAGUAAGGAGGGACCUAUUUAUAGAGGAUUGAAUUUGAAUGUGUUAGGCAAAAAGGCACGAUUAUUCACCUCUGUUUUAUUAAUUAUAUUCAAGAUGGUGACAUUUUGAUUACUGUGAAAAUUCAUGAUUUAAUUAAAUCAAGCUGGUGACUUUUUGAUUAUUAUGACAAGUCAUGACUCUUCAGCUUCUUAAUAUUAAUUAGUUCUUAAAAUUAAAUAAUUGGUUUUCUCAAUUAAAUAAUCGAAGACUUCUCACCUUUUCAAUAAUAAUUUUUUUAAUUAUAUCCAUUUUAUUGAGUUGUGAAAGCACAUGGUCCAUUUGUUACAUCAGAUAACUCAUCUCUUGCAAUAGAUUUUACAUCUAUUGCAACAGAUGGAUUAUCUAUUGUAACAAAUGGACCGUUUGAUAUAAUAGAUACACCAUCUGAUGCAAUAGAUGGAUCAUCUGAUGCAAUAGAUAGACUAUCUGAUACAACAGAUGGACCAUCUGAUGCAAUAGAUGGAUUAUUUAAUACAACAGAUGGAUUAUCUGAUACAAUAGAUGGAUUAUCUAAUGCAACGGAUGGACCAUCUAUCAGGGGCCAUCUGUUAAUUAAAAUUAAAUAACUAUUUUUUUAUGUUUUUAAAUUGUCCUUAUCAUUUAUUUUCUUAUUAUUUUUUUUAUGAACCAUUUUUCUUUAUUAAAUAAUUGCAAAGUCAUGACUUUUCACCCUUUCAAUAACCCUUCUUUUUAUUAAUAACCAUUUUUAGUCAGUUUUCCCAACAAAUGGACCAUCUAUUGAAACAGAUUUGUUAUUUAAUCAAAGAACACAAACCAAUGGCAAGAACUGUAUUGUGUUCUUCCAGCAGAUCUGUGCAACAGAUGUUCCAUCUGUUACAAUAUAUUGGUUAUGAGCUGAUUGAACACAAUGCAGUCUGAUAAAGUGUAUGUGUUCUUCCAGCGAAUGUCCAUCUAUUGCAAUGCAUGGGUAAUCUGCUGAGUACAUUUUUGUAGUUAGUCGUAUUUAGUUCCUGUUUAGUUACCUCUUUUUAUUGAUGCACAAGUUAUUAAAAAAAUAUUUUAUAUAAUAAAUAAUAAUAUUUACAUCCCCAACAAUGAGUUAAAAUUAUCAAAGUCUAUAAUCAAACAACAACACAAGUUUACUAUUAUAACGAUCAUAGUGCAUUACAUACAUAGCACUUGUGUUUUCUUGAUGAGCAUGUAAUCCUUUGACGUUCAAGAUGGUUACCCGUUGAACCUCUGUAGUUUUCUACACUACUUCAAGAUGGGCAUUGGAGAUUAAACAUUGUUUAAUGUUGAUGGGAUAGAAAGAGUAAGGUGUAUACAGAUGGAUGGAUACACUUUCAUGUGUGAGAGUUAUGUAUUACUGAUCAGGUUAUCGUAACAAUAGACAUAAAGUACAAUAACUUUGUGAAUAUAGUUUUUUAUCGAUUAGGCAUUGAUCCUUCAAAAAAGAUCAUGCAUUUUAUAUUUAAGUUUGAUAGGUGGGAAUUGAUAAGGUCGAAGGGUUCCAAGAAGGGGGUGUCGAUCCCCAGUUACAAUUUAAUGACAGUUUUGCUCAUGCUUAUGUGUCAAGUAGGGAUCAAUUUUUGAUGGCAUUAUAGAUAUUCAAUAGUGAUUGGAUCAAUUUUAAUGGUUCUAUAGACUUUGAGAAGGCCUUUAAAGUCUCCCAUUGCAACAAACAAGAAUAGAAAACAAUAAAAUUUUCCUUGGUUCAAAUUUAUAUGGAUGGGUUACUGGAGGAGACUAUUAUAUAGCAGAAUGUGCUUUAGAGAAUAUUUGUAUGGGAAAGGGAAGGUGGAUAAGACGAUGUGUCAUCUCAGACCUUUUUUUAGAGGAAAUACAGGGCAGCAAUUAAAGAACUUCUAAUGAAAUUGACUUGAAAGAUAAGAAAACUGAAUGAGUUGCAAAUGUGAAAGUGUGUCCUAAAAUUAAAAUUCGUCAGUCAUUGUUGAAAAGAAAAUUGGUAAAGUAGAAUGGAGUUGGACACUUUACUAAGGAACUACGACUAGCUAGCAUGGCCUAAAUGAAAACCCACAAAGUAUAGGAUCAGAACUCUAAGGAAACAGCUUGGUGAGCACCAAGGAUUGGUAAGAUUUUCAGUCAAGAAUGAAACUUCAACCAACAACUCCUGAAGUUAAAAUAAGGGAAGCCAAGGCGUCAAUUUCUGAAGUCUAACUUGCAUCCCAUGCCUUCUAUUUGUGGUUCUGAUCAGGUCAAUAUUAGUAGAAACAAAAAGGUUUGAAGUCGGGCAGAAAUCACAUGCCUUAUUGUUUCCAUUACCUUUGACCUGACCGGAACCAUAAGCAGAAGGCCUGAAAUACAAGUUUAACUUCAGAAAUUGUUGCCUAGGCUUGAUCCCUUAUUUUUACGUCAGAAGUUAUUGGUUUAAGUUCUCUUCUUGACUGACCAUCUUACCACUGUUGGUGCUCGCAAAGUUGCAACCUUAGAGUUCUGAUCCACCACUUUAUGGGUCAUCACUUAGUCCAUGAUAGCUAGUCGUAGUUCCCAAGCAAAGUGCACACCUCCAGUCUGUAACGUGUUGAGAUCCCAUCUCGAGACGUCACAAGGUGCUUAUGAUCCCGAAGGACCACAAGCUAAUCCUUUACUGAUAUCUGUACCUAUACACUGCAUAAUAUCUUAAAUAAAUACGAAAACUGGCCAUAAGGUUCAACACAUCUAUAAAUACUCAAAAUACAGAAAACUAAAUACUAAUACAUUCGACGUUUGUCUGAAAAUCCUCUAUACUGUAUGAGCUAUGGAGUUGAUGGGACAUGUCCCCAACUAACUCCGAAAAUAUAAACAAAACCUUAUGUAAAUAAUAGUAAACUGAAACUCAUCCUCGAAAGAAGAGGACUCACUGCUAUGACUACUGCUGCUAACUGGGAUGGAACUGCUGAGGAAACUCUGGCUCCUAUGCCUCUGAACCUAUGGUGACAAAUAAAACACCAUAGCACAAAUGCGUCAGUACAGGGAUGUACUGAGUAUGUAGAUGAGGUAAGGCUAAAUGCAAAGGCUCAUGCGUGCACAAUACAUAAACUGAAUAAUGAUGAAAAUGUCACACGAGAACACAUACAUGAAUGCACAGACCAUAAUCACAAUCAUCACAACUCAAGAUACUGAAACUCGGAUACCACUUUACUGCAGACUGAACUCAUUACUGAUACUGAGAUACUGAAUCACUAAUUCAUCUGAUAUUGAUAACUGAGGAUUUGGAUACAGUUAUAUCAAGGACUGAAUUCUGAGCUUUACUGCUUUCAACUGACAGGAUUUGAGAUCAACCUCUCUAACAGAUGAUUUCAAAAACUAUUAUUAAUAAUAAAAAAAUAUGAAUAUAUUGAAUUUGACAACAAGGAUACUCAAUAGAAUAUGAGACUGUGAAUUAAGCCUAUCUGGCAGUAUAUCUCUGAAUAUGAUAUCAAAUAACUGUAUAUGAGACUAGGCCUAUCUGAUGGGAUGGUCUAUGAAUCAAUGGAACUAUCUGAGUUCCUCAUAAUAAUAGAUGAUUAUAUCUGAUAGUCCUAAUUUCUGAAGAUUGAUACUGAAACUGAGACUGUAACUAAAACUGUGGGAAGUAGUUACUUAACCGACAUACCCCAACCUACCAUAGGUGGGGUCCAACCUGUAACCCCAGCUGGAAGGGUAUGUAAAGACCUCUCUCUGGUCAAUCCUCUCUAACAGAUGACCCUUACCAGGCAGUUGACCUAAGGUAAUAUAAUAGUUAAAUACUCUCUCUCUAGAGGUGAAAGCCUUUUCCUGACGAUGACUCAUGUAUCCUGUGCUGGCUACGUAGUUCUAAACGUCAGGGAUUGCUACUAAUAACUCCGGCCUCUCUCUCUUGCUGACGGAUGGAGUCGCCAUCUCUUUCCUCACUCGGUGUUGGUUUCUACACCUAACUGAAAGACUCUAAUGGAAUUCUUAACUGAACACAACUAAAUUGAAUCUGAUACUAAUCAUGUUUAUCAAAAGAUCUGACUAAGCUAUGCUGAGAUUACUUAGUUCUGUAUCUGACGGAAAUGGUAUUGAAUCAUAGUAUCUGACUAAAGAUACAGAGCUUGAAUAGAUUAUUCGGUCACUUCUGAGAUUAGAAUUGAACACUUGCAUACUAUUGGAUCUGAGCUGAUUACAAGACUGAGGCUAGAUUACUAGCUAUACGAAGAUUAAAGAUGUUACUGAGAUUUCUGAGCUUUCUUACAUUCUGCAAUUGUCUGAAGAUACAGAGUUCUAUAGCUCACUGAGUUUUGAGAAUCAUGGCUCGACUGUAAUUAUCAUGAAACUGACACGGGCUCUAGACAGCAGCUAAAUUGUCUACUCCCAGGACUCAAUAACAUAAAAUAAAGCAUAAUCAUUCCUUCAUCAUCACAACCAUUCAUUCAUUAUCAUCAUCACAAUCAUUCAUUCAUCAUCACAGUCAUACAUUCAUCAUCAUUAUAAUUAAAGCAUCUCUUUAAGUAUUUAGGAAUCAUAUAAUAUGUUCAUCCUCACAAUCACUAAGACAUCACCUCGAGCAUUUAUGGAUCAUAAAUAUAUAAUAGCGUAGGGGAAACAUGCUACUAGAUCAUACUCCAUUCAACAAGGUCUUUCCUCAAGUACUUCACACCUAAAUCAGUCUUGACGUGUAUUUCGACAUCAUAUGAUUUGGGGAAAACUUCAUACUAUCAUGUCUCAACUUACUUGCUAACCACUUGGCAUGUAUUAAAAGCUUAGUAUAUAUCAAAGAGCACAUAAUUGGAGAAUUUACUACCAUCAUAUCUCCACUUGUUCACUAAGGUCCUUCAACAAUCACUAAACACGCACGGGUUCAUACUUAUUUGGGGAUUUCCCACUAUCAUGGAAUAAUUCAUCCUCUUGGGCAUUUUAUCAAACACUUGGCAUGCAUAAACUAACUCACAAUUUGGGGUUUCAUCUUCAACAUACUACAAUGGCCCUUAUGUUUCACCUAAUCUUUUUAUCAAACCUAUGGGGGACAUGUUUCACUUAUUCAACCAUUUCUACAACCAAAUACCAUGAACACAUCACAUAAAUUCCAUAUACUAGGGUCAAAGCUCAUAAAUCUUUUACACAAAUAUGAAUCAAAACUCAACAUCACAAGGAACAUCAAUUUCAACUCAUACAAAUCAUGAAAUCUAAUAAACAUAAAAAUCGUGAAGUUUUAAAAAGGAUUCUUGAUAAUCUUAGAUGAAAGGGACCUAAGAAUCAACAUCUACAUACCUUGGAAAAACUCUUUUAUUGAAGUCCUUUGGAGAGAUUCUUGAUUUCUCUAGAUUUUUCUUGAUUUUUGCUUGAAGAAGAGAGGAGAUUUUAAUUUUUUGAAAACCCUAAUUUUGGAGUAAAAAGAGAGAAAAUGAGGCCAAUUCUCGUGUAAAAGGGGUAUAUAUAGGGGUUGGGAAAAGCCUCUUUUUUUCCUUGGAAUUAAACUAAAAAUCCUAAUUUUUCAUGUUGGUGGGACACGCCAUAAUCGCGCCAGUUCACUGGAAAAUGGACAAUUGGGAAACUGCACGAAAGCGCGAUGCGGUGAAAAUUACAUUGCCAUCUUGGUUGAGAAUUGGAACUAUACUGCGACGCUGUGGAAUCGCGGAGGUUCACCAAAUUUUGACAAUUGCUAUUUUGGCUGGCUCCGCGAUGCGCUAAGGUGCCAGGUUGCACACUGUCUCACUAAAAUGAUUCUAAAUCUUCACCCGAGUGUCCGAUUUGGGCGAAUUUGGUAUCGAUGGAAAGCUUAUUCAAUGCUCUACAUGACAAAAAGUAGAAAUUAGGGAAAUUCUACACGAUUCAAAGUAUUUUAUACUUGGGAAGAUAUUUCUGAAACUUUUAAACUUGGAUUUCUACUUUACUGAAUACGCUCUAAGGCUCAGACUAAAAGAGAACUUUACAGGGUAUUACACAGUCUACUUCACCAUUUUUAUUUUCAAAUCAACUGAUGAAUUUUCAUUUCUGGAUAUAUUUUUAUUUUUUUAGCUUAUUCGAGUUUUUCAUUUUUCAUGUCAAUUUCAUUAGCUAGAUUAGCUACACGUUCCUUGCUACUCUGUGUUUCUUCUUUAAUAAGGUUUGAGUUGAUAUAUGGUCUUCAGCACCUGCCCUUUCCCUCAAAGAUAUUCUCCCAAGCACCUUUUAUUGUAUAAGCAUCACCCCGAGCAACCCAGCCAUAUAAAUUUGGACCAGGGUAGUAAUUAUAUUAAUUUCCAUUCUUAGUUGCAGCAGUGUGAGGCUUUGAAGGCCUUUCAAAAGUCCAUUGAACCCUUAAAAUCAGUCCAACCACUAUUAAAUCUUUACACUACCACCAAAUACUUGGUCCCUUCUCCUAACUUGACACAUAAACAUUAGCAAAACCAUCAUUAAACUAUAACAGGGUAUCAACACCACCUACUUGGUCCCUCGACCUUAUCAGUUUGAACCUAUCAAUAUUAACUGUAAAAUGCAAUAUCUUCAUUGAAUGAUUAAUGCCUAAUCGGUUAAAAAACUUCAUUCACAAAAUCGGUGUACUCUAUGUGUGUUUUCAAGAUUACAUAAUCAAUAAUACGUACCCCCCACAUAUGAAGUUGUUCCAUCUGCAAGCAGCUUAUUCCUCCUAACCAAUCUUUACUCUACCCUUUUAUAUUGGUCGAGCAAAAGUUGAUCCAUUUCUACUUUUUUUUAUCUGCAAACAUGAUAAAAACAAAUGAUGUAAAACAAGAGAAGAACCAAAAAAUAUUACAAUUGAUGUCUGCAUAAUUUAAAAAAAAAAGGGUAACACAAAAUUAAAUGAAUACAACACAUUACAACAAGCGUUCCAAUAGAUGACCCAUCUGUUGCAAUAGAUUAUCCAUCUGUUGCAAUAGAUGACGUGUCUGUGGUAACAGAUAGCUGACAUAUUGCAACAGAUGGGUCAUCUAUUAGAAUAAAUCAAACCAUCCUUACAAUAGAUGGGUCAUCUAUUGGAAUAAAUUAAACCAGCCUUGCUACUGGUUUGAUUUCUUCCAAUAGUUGCUCUAUCUGUUCCAAAAAUUAAUUCAUCAGUUACAAUAAUUGGGAAAUUUUUUACAACACUACCAACACCAAUAACAACAUUAACAACAGCAUUAACAACAAAGAAACAACACCAUAUAUUCCAACACCAUCAACAAAACAAACACCAUAUGUUCUAACACCAUCAACAACACAAACACCACAUAUUACAACAACACCAACACCACCAACACCACCAACAACAUCAACAACAACAUCAACAAUAAAGAAACAAACAAAAGACAUAAAAAAUAAUACUGCCAAUAAGAUUUUUUAAGUUCUCCCAACAGAUGACUUUUUCUGCAUAUUUUAAUAAAAACAAUGAUUCAUUCAUUUAAGGCUUAAAAGUCACCUUUACUUUAAUUUUUUUAAUAAAUAGGGUAUAGGUAAUGGGUAAAUAAAUAAAAACAACAGAUGUAAAUAUCUAAUUUAAAUAACAUACAAAAAAGAAGACGAGAAAAAAAGAGCAAUAGUGAAUUAUACCUGUAAUGUCGAAAAAGCAAAGAAAUCAAAAUACCUAUUUCAGUCAAGAAAAGAUAUAGAUCAGUUGAGAUCUAAAAGGAUCCCCAUGAGAAAAAGGAGAGAAAAGAGAGAAAAAAUGAGAUAGUUAUGAUUACCCCAAAGAGGAGAGAAAGAGAAAGAAGAGAGAUGAAUUAAUUUAUGGAUGAAGGAGAGAUUCUAGAGAUGGAUUUUAAAUAACUUUGAGGGGAACGAGGAGAUGGUGACAUUAAAAAGAUAAGAUAAGACUACUCAAGGAGAAGAUUUUUGAGUUAUCCAAGAAAUUUUUUUACCGCCUUAGUAUUAUCUUUUUUAUCUCAGAUAGAAAAUUAUUUUAGAAUAAAAAAAAAUCUUAAAACAUAUAAGUCAUCUGUUGCAACAGAUGGCAAUUUUUGUUUAAAUAUUUUCAAUAGCUCAGUCAUCUAUCACAACAGAUGGCAAUGUCUAUUUGAUAAUAUACAAUAGAUAGGUAAUCUGUUGCAACAGUUUUAUUUAUCUAUUUGAUAAUUUCCAAUAGAUAAGUCAUCUAUUGCAACAGGUUGAACAUCUAUUUUAAUAAAAUUUUAAUUGAGUUCAUAGGUUCAACUAUAAUUUCAAUUGAUAUAGCUCGAACUAGGGAUGGGUUCACAUGGUUAGCUACAGUUUCAAUUAAGUCAUUAUAAUUGCAUGAUGUUGGUAUUACAUUCCUCCUGGCCUGAGUCGUCAAUAGACUAAUCUAAGUUAAAAUGAUUCUUAUUAGCUUAUUCUUUGAAAUGCCUACAUUGAUCUAGAUAGAACAAGGGACGAGUUCACAGGGUCAGCUAUAGUUUUAAUUGAGUCAUUGCAAUUGUAUGAUGUAAAUGGUAGUGCGUUCCUCCUAGCCUGAGUCGCCAACUUAUCAAUCUGAGUUAAACUAAUUCAUAUUAGCUUAUUAUUUGAAAUACAUAAAUUGAUCUAGCUAGAACUAGGCACGAGUUACAGGGUUAGCUACAGUUUUAAUUGAGUCAUUGCAAUUGCAUGAUGUUGAUAUUGUGUUCCUCCUGACCUGAGUCGUCAAUCGAUCAAUAUGAGUUGAAAUAAUUCAUAUUAGUUUAUAAUUUGAAAUGCCUAAAUUGAUCUAUCUAGAACUAGGGAUGAGUUCACAGGUUCAUCCACAGUUUCAAUUGAGUCAUUGGAAUUGCAUGAUGUUAGUAUUGCGUUCCUCUUGGCGUGAGUCGUCAACCAAUCAAUCUGAGUUGAAAUAAUUUAUAUUAGCUUAUUAUUUUAAAUUUCUAAAUUAAUCUGGAUAGAACUAGGGAUGAGUUCACAGGGUCAGCUACAGUUUCAAUUGAGUCAUUGCAAUUGCAUGAUGUUGGUAUUGUAUUUCUCCCAGCUUGAGUCAUCAUCCGACCAAUCGUUGUUAAAACGAUUCAUAUUAGCUUAUUAUUUGAAAUACCUAAAUUAGUCUAGUUAUAACUAGGGAAAAGUUCACAGGUUUAUCUACAGUUUCAAUUGAGUCAUUGCAAUUGCAUGAUAUUAGUAUUGCAUUCCUCCAGGACUAAGUCAUCAAUCGAUCAAUCUAAUUUAAAAUAAUUCAUAUUAGCUUAUUAUUUGAAAUGCCUAAAUUGAUCUAUCUAGAACUAUGGAUAAGUUCAGAGGGUCAGCUAUAGUUUUAAUUGAGUCGUUGCAAUUGCAUGAUAUUGGUAUUGCGUUCCUCCUUUCCUGAGUUGUCUACCAAUCAACCUAAGUUGAAAUGAUUCAUAUUAGCUUAUUAUUUAAAAUGUCUAAAUUGAUAUAGCUAGAACUAGGAAUGAGUUCACAUGGUCAGCUACGGUUUCAAUUAAGUCAUUAUAAUUGUAUGAUGUUGGUAUUCUAUUCCUCUUGGCCUGAGUCGUCAACUGAUCAAUUUGAGUUAAAAUGAAAUACAAUUUAUUAUAAUGAAAUGGUUAAAAUUUAUCUCUUUUAAAAAAAUUAACUAAGAUCAAUUCAGACCAAAUUAACAUUUUCAAAACUUGUCAUUCUUUUCCAAAAUAUAGAUCAACCCAUAUAAAUCAUCCAUUUAUGGAAAAAAUGCUUCAUCAUUUCAAAUCUCGAGCUCUCACUCUUUUCUUUCUCUCUCAACAAUACAAACAAAAACUACUUAACAUAUUGCUCAACCCUUCAUAAUAAAUCAAUUUUCUUCUCAUUUUUUAUCAUAUAGUUGUUGUUUUCAACUUUAUUUUUGCUUGUGCCGGUCGUUUUCUUUGUCUUCAUAGGUAACAGAGUUCGAGAAGAGUUCUACAUUGAUUUUUCUAAAAAUUAAGUCUUUUAAAUUAAUGAUAAAAAAAGAAGACUUUAAGUUGUAUUAUCUUCGAGAAUGAGUUAACAAUUUUGAGUUUUAAUGAUAAAAUUGUAAGAAGAACUCAAUAAAAUCUUAGUAUUUAUCACAGUGUUCCGUUAACUAUCGUAGUAUUCUUGGAUGAUGUUUGUGGUGUUGUUUGUGGCUGAUGGUGGUGGUAGUGGUGGUGGUGGUGGUGGUGGGUGGUGGUGGUGAAAGCAUUGGUGAUGGUGGUGGUGGUGGUGGUGGUGGUGGUGAUGAUGGCAUUGAUAGUAGUGUUGGUGGUCUUGGUGUUGGUAUUGGUGGCAUUGCUGAUUUUAAUUGGUGUUGGUUUUGGUAUUGAUGGUGUGGUGGUAUUGGUGGUGGUAUUGGUUGCAUUAGUAGUGGUAUUGGUGGUGGUGCUGGUGGUAUUGGUGGCAUUGGUAAUGGUGGUCAUCGUCUUGUUAUUGGUAUUGAUGGCACUGGUGGUGUUGGUGAUUUUAAUUGGUGUUGGUUUUGGUAUUGGUUGUUUGGUGGUGGUGAUGGUGGCAUUGCUGGUGGUGUUAGUGGACUUGGUGGUGGUGGUGGUGAUGGUUUUGGUAUUGGUGGCACUGGUGACAUUGGUGGUGGAGGUGGUAUUGAUGGUUUGGUGGCGGUAUUGAUAGUCUUGGUGGUGGUGGUGGUGGCGGCGGCAUUGGUGUUUGUGUUAGUGGUGGUAUUGGUAUUGAUGGCAUUGGUGGUGGUAGUAGUGGUAUUGGUAUUGGUAUUGGUAUUGGUGGCAUAGGCAGUGGUGUUGGUGUUGGUGUUGGUAUUGGUGGUAGUGGUAGUGGUUCAUCUAUUGCAACAGGUGGAACAAUUGUUGAGAGAUAAUAAAAUAGGUCUUCAAACAGAUUUCUCAUCUGUUGCAACAAAUGUUUUAGUUGUUGGUAUAAAAUAAACCAGUAACAAGACUGUUUUGAUCUCCUCCAAUGGGUUGUUCAUCUGUUGCAAUAGAUGGUGCAUUAGUUGUAACGGAUUAUUCAUCUGUUCCAACAAAUGGGUUAUCUGUCAAAAUAUUUUUUGUAAUGUGACGUAUAAAAAUUUAUUGAAUUUUUUCUUACCUUUUUUUUUAAAUUUAUGUAAAAAUCAAUUGUAAUGUAUUUUUUGUUUUUCUUUUGUUUGUAGGUAAAAUAUGUCUCCAAAAAAAAAAGUGCAAGUGGAUAAAAUUCUGACCACCUAACAAAAAAGGUUAGAAUACAGAUGAAUUCGGAGGAGCUUCCUGAACAAUUUCAGUCAGGAAAAAAUGAAGCUAAUGAAAGAUAUGAAAAUGAUGUUGAAGGAGGUGGAGAAGGGUCUGUAUAGGGUGAUGAGGAAAAUAAAAGUGAGGAGGAAGAAGAAGAUGAUGAUAAAAAAAAAAUGAGGAAGUGGAAAGUGAGAAAGAGGAUGAUGACUAAAAUGAUUAUAAUGCAUCAUCAAUGGAACAUGAAUUAAGAAUGAAAUCCCAGUAUGAUCCUAUCAAAACUAUUGUCACGCCACUUUUAUAAUCAAAAAAGAUUGAUUUUAAGUUCGAAAAGAAUUUUUAUUAGUAAAGUGACAAAAGAUGAAACUUUUUUUCAAAAAAGACUUUUUUUUUAAUUAAAUUCAGAGUCGCCACUUGGCAUAAUCCGGUGUGUCAAAUCACCUUUGGAAAAUCUUUUUCAAAAUGAUUUGACUCUUUAAACUAAUUUGCGAACAGAGAUUCCGGUUAAGAAAUUCUGUUGAUCGAGGGGAAGGUGUUAGGCAUCCCUCGAUCCCAUGGUUCGACCAUGGUCGCUUGAUGGAGUAUAUCCGCUAUUUUGACACUACGAAUAUAUAAAUCAGACAAAAGCACAUAAAACAAUCAAUCAAAACUAAACAAACCUAAAUAUAAUGUCCAGUCCGAUUAUACAAUCCAAAAUAAAUAAUAAAAAAUGCGAAAAUAUAAAUCCUAUUCUAACUUACACUAAUCCUAAACUGCGCUCCAAUGCUUUACCCAAUGCCUCAGACCUUGAUCACAAACCUCCUUUGAAGACAUAAUACGCCGGAAUAUUCCCCGGUGAAUAAACACAUGAAACCUAGGGGCAUUCCCCGAUCAAAUGAAUACACUUGAAUCAAAUACGAUAGACUAGAAAAUAUUCAACACACAUUCCACAUUCAAACAUUCAAUAAAAAACACUUAUUCCUAGAUUUUGCCUACCCAAACCUACAUUUGUCUAUCUAUUUCAACAUAUCAUAAUUCUAUCACGUUUCAACAAUAUUCAUGCUCAUUCCGAAUUAAACAAAGCAACAAUAAACCAAAGUUAAUCUAAAUUCACCCUUUUUAUCAAUUUCUCAAUUACAUCCCCAAACAACCAAUUUUACUUUUCAAACGAGAUACAUUUCAACGUACAAAUCAUGAUUGAGGAAACCAACCCCAAAUUAAAACAAACACGCAUUCAUCACCAACAAGGAUCAAAUAACACAAUACUCAAUUCAAAAACACCAAAAUAUAGUAAACAAUAAAGUAGAAGAGGGAAAGAGUAAAAUUGGGCCUCCGAUAAUCAAUUUCCGAUGCUAAUAAUAUUUAAGAAAACCACAACUCGAAAUUUGGAAACCUCCACCGCAAAAAAAUCCAACUCAAUAGCAAAAAUUAACGAUCAGAAUUCGAAAUCAGUGAAAAAACUCUUAAUCAAACCCGAAUCAAGAAUGCUAACCCAAUCUAUUCACGAAAACCCCAAAGCAUGAUACAAAAACAACUCAACAAAGACAGAAUACCCGCAAUCCCAAAAACACAAAAGAAAAUAGUGUAGCCUGAGCUCCGGUGAGCUCAAACGGCGGCAAAGACUGAUGAUGGAAGAGAGAUUUCGGACACUUAUCAUUUUUCCGUCCAAAUCUACCCAAAAAUCAAAAGAAAUUGACGAAAUCCCAGGGUUUUGGGCUUGAACGGGCAGACGCACGACCUGUAACGGGUUCCGACGACUAUUUUGCCGGAAGAACUCAAGGGGACGAUCGGAACUCCAUCAAACGCUGGUUUUUCUACUAUUUUCGCCGAAUCUCCGUCAAGCAACCUCUAUUUUUGUCUUUCCCUUACUGAGUGUGUGCGGGUGGGUGUUUUUCAGUGCUUUGUGUGUGUGUGCAAUGGCAACUGUGUGCGUGUCCUCCUCCCCCCUCUUCGUCUGUGAGCUAUGUGUAUAUUGAUCUAUUAAAGAGUAUGUGAGGUCUGUGAUGAAGAUGAUGAAGUGGGUAUGAAUUUUCCUUUUUUUAUCUGUGAGUAUCGUUGGGAGCAAGAAAGGGGAAAAAAAGGAUGGUCCCUCCCAAAUCAUGUGGGCCCCCCUUUAUAUUUUUGUUGUCUGUGUAUUGUAUCCGAAAAGGAAAAAUGGAGAUGAUGAUCUGUCUCCUUUUUUGUAUCUCUGUGUGGUGCAUAUGGUGCCCCUUUUUUUCUUUAUGUGAUGUGUCUGUGUGGAGUACGUGUUGUGUAGUGUGUAUUCUAUCUAAAAAUGGAAAAAGAAAUGGGGCUGCUCUCCUUUUUUGUCUCUCCUAUGUGAAGGUGUAUAUAUGGUGUGAUGAAUUUUCUAUAGCAAUUUGUGUGUAUGUGCGUG
rnacentral:lncRNA from 1 species